rnacentral:lncRNA from 1 species
CCCGUGGUGUCGACUACCCCUUCCAUUGACUCACAAUAGCUUAUCUCAAGAUGUUGGAGUUUCGCAAGACUAUUAACCAUAGAAUAUGAAAACAGAUACUUCAGACAAUCACAACUCCACACGAUGACCUUUGUUAAGUUUUGACAACAGUACAUUCCUUGAUUAUGAUCGGCCCAUAAUUUUUUCAUGUUUCUUAAGUUCCUGAUAUUCAAUUCCUCUAAGCUCGGAAGAAUAAUAACCUGCAAAGAAAACCCGUACAUUUUUGUUCCUUCAAGUACAACCGUCUAGUAUAAUAUUUUUUGAUGAUCGAAGAUUAAUCGUGAAUCCGUGAUAAUAAAUUAAUCAAUUAAUUAUUGAACAGAAAAUUAUCACCUUUGGAGCAGGGUCAUCAUCAGCAAUGAUUUCGUUAAAUCCCAAAGAAGAAGUUGGUUUCUCCCUGUCGGGUCCUAUAAACAAACAAAAACAAUAUACAUAAUUAAUCUUUGUUCUUUUUUUUUUUUUGGUCCAAAAUAAUUGAAGAGAAGUCCAUAAUCCCACCAAUACUUAACUUCAACACUUACCAAAAAUCAUUUCCAGAUCAUGGCAAAACUCCACUUCUACCUUUUGAAGCCGCAGUAGGUUUUUGGCUAUGGAGAAUGAGAAAAGAUGCUUCAAUUUGUAACAGGAAUAUACUUCUAUAAUCCUUAAGUUGCUGAAAGAUUGAUCUUCUGUGAGUUGGCUGUCACAUAUUGUCUCCAAAUUGAUCAAACGACGAAGAGACAAUGACUCCAGCAAGGGGAAGACUUUGCGACGAACCCGUCCAACUGAACGGACAAUAUGCAAAAUCUCAGAACAACUUUUUACAGAAAGAUGCUUCAAUCGUGGAAAACCUUCCCCAUCAUCUAAUUCACCCUUCAGUUCUUCUAGAUAGAGAUAUUCAGUUCUCUUCAACAACAGUUUCAUCCUGUAAUUCUGCAAAAGAAUGCCAAACUUUUCUAGCCCCUGGAGCUUCAUCAAUCUUGAUAAUCCAGAUUUAACGGACCGGCUGCUCCACCACGUAUUUCCUAUACAUAUCCUAUAGCUUUGCAAUUCCACAGAGACCAAAUCCUGUGGUAGAAUUUCGGCAUCCCGAACGUGUAUCUCCAAAGUAGUUAGCUUUGACAACCCCUUCAACUCAACAAGACUGGCGUUACUUCCUCCUUCAACCUUCUCCCACUGUGAAAAGCUGUUACUCAUAUAUAGUUCUUCUAAUCGAGAUAAUUUUGAUAUGACAUUUGGAGCUAUCACCACAAGGCUGCUACAAUUGCUCAAAUCUAGCAACUGUAAUCUCGUCAAUUGUCCAAUUACAAGUGGCAACUCCUUAACAUCAGAAUCUCGAAGGCUGAGAAUCUCUAAUUUCUUUAGCUGUCCAACUAUUGCUAUAUCUUUUAGUCCGCAACCAUCUAAACAAAAUGUUUGAAGGUUAAUGAGGCGACCAAGUGAUGAAGGUAAUGAAGAGAAAGGAAUUCUAGUAAGACUUAACACUUUGAGUUCUUCUGUCCCUUCAAAAAAGAGGUCUGAAAUUUGCAUAGGGCCAUAACCCUUUCCAAACAACAAAAAUAACUGGAGAUUGGGACAUUGCAACCUUUCAGGGAGCUCUUGGAUAUCUCUAUGAGGCAAUGAAAUAGCAAUUGGUCCUUUCUGUUUCGUCUCUUCCAUCUUUUUCUCAACGUCAGCAACAUUUGGAAUAUUAAACAUGCGCUUCUCUGCGGCAAUUGAUACGGCAACAACAUGAAUGACGUCAUGCAUUUUAACUUCAUCUUCAGCAUCACCGUCCAACAAUAAGCAUGAAGAUUUGAGAUUGUCGAUCAACCGAUGCACUCUACUCCUUGCUUCUUCCAAUGUGUAAACAUUUUCAAACAAACCCCAACCCACGCCAUAUCUCAAUAAGUCAGAAACUUCUAUGGCAUCACCUUCACUGUACAGACCACAAAGACGGAACAAAGAUUUUGCCUCCGCACUUUCCAAGAAGUCAUAACUCAAUAUUAUGGAGGUGUACACAUUUGCUUGCAUGCCAUGAAUUUCUCUUGCAUCCGAUCUUCUUAGCUGAUUCAAUGCAUCUUUCCAAAAGUCAAGCUCCUUAGUUUUCAGAGCAUUUGCAACUGUACUCAGUGCAACAGGCAAACCUCCGCAUCUUUCAACGAUCUCAUUUGCCAUACUUUGAAAAGCAGAUAUUUUAGUUGAAUCACCCACUAUCUUCUCAAAUAACUGCAAUGCUUCUUCUUUUGAUAAAGCAUCGAUCCAGAAAAUUUUCUGACAAUUCAUAUCAUUGCACAAUAAAUCUCGACUUCUAGACGUCAAUAUUAUUGUGCAUCUUCUCUGAUCAUCCUCUCUAUCUUUCUCAUCAACAUCUCCAGAAGGAAUUCCAACCGCAUCCAACUCAAGUUUUGUCCAAAUAUUAUCCAAUAUAAUGAGGACCCGCUUCUCUUGCUUCAACCUUUCACGCAGUCGAGAAGCUCUAUGGUGUAUACUAUCAUUCAAGUCAAAUUUCAUGCCUAAAUCAGAAGCGAGCUUGUCUUGAAUUUUCUGGGGAUCUGGGUUCUGUGUUACCUCAGCCAUAACGACCUUAUCGAUCAACUUAUCUUCCAUCACUUUCUUAGCAACUUGCUUGACUAGCGUGGUUUUACCCACGCCGCCCAUGCCGUAGACCCCAAUUAUGUUGAGCUUAUCAUCCUUCAACGCCUCCAUAACAUCCUGAAAUACUUUCAUUCUUGAAUCAAAGGCCUCGUUAUCUUUCCCGUCAUUAAGUCCUGUGCUCUUUGGAGUAGGACGGUAGGAAACAUUAGAGAAGUUGCCUUUUCCCACGAGACCAGCGGCAGCUUCUGCGGCCUUUGCUGCUUGUUUACUAAGCUUGUAACGGGACAUCAAAUUUGGGCACAAUCCUUUGAAGCAGAACUUCUUAGCUCUUUCUUCAUCAUCAAUGAUGGAUUUUGCAACCCCUUCACUUAUGAAUUCAUCAACGCUAUGUAGCCAGUCUGUGACACCCUCAUAAAGCUCAUCCCCUUGUAGCCUAGCAUGAUUAACUGGUUGCUGCACCGUUUCUCUUUUAUAUCCCAGCUGCUUUACUUGAUCUUUUAGAUCAUCUAUGUAGCUCUGGUACUUGAACACAUAAGAUAUCUGCCGUAUAAUCGGUUUGAACAAUGACUUUGCACCUUCUGAUACGAUGCUGGAGAAAGCUGCAAGACCCACCUCUGCCAUUGCCUGCUGCUUAACAAAUCUAAUAAAAUGUCAAAGAAAGGAAUUCAAAUAAAUUAAAAUGAACUAGAGGGAAAGACAAAAAAGGAAAAGGCAGUAAACAGUGUCGCAACAUUGAUCUUGAAUCAACUGAAACAUGAACAGAGCAUUUUUUCUUCUUUGUUAAGGAUCAGAGUUUUUGCUAUUAACAAAACCUACUUCAAGCGUCUUAAAAAAAAAAACUGUAAAUUUACCAUAAAUGAACAAUAACUACAAAACUCAAGCAAAACAAGCCACAGAAUUUUUAUCUUGGAAAGUGGAUGGAAUUAAGAAAGAAAUGCUAUAAAGAUCAAGCAUCAGAGAUUAUGCUAUUAAAAGAAAUUAAUUGAAGGUUUUAGAUCAAGUGCGCCUAUUUAAUUAUGUGGGGUCAGAAAGUUGAUGAGCCUCUGUGAUCGCCUUGAAUAUUUAAGAGCAAUUUCAAUGAGCAAAAAAUUUCUGUUACCUGCAGAGGAAUGUGAUUAUAGAGAGCUUAUAGGGUAAUGACAAUGAUUUGGAAAAGAAGAAGACUUAAUCAUGCAGCCCUUAAUAUUUAUUAAAUGACUUGUGAUCAUUUCUUUUAUGAAUAAAAUGCCAAUAGCAAAAAGAGAAAAAAGGGCGAAAUUUACUAAGUCUUAUUUUAUUUUUAAUUUCUUUUAUUUCCAUUCGCCGAAGAGGGAAUCUCUCCCUCUUUUUGUUUUUUUUUAAGGGGAAUCUCCUUACCUAAUAUGACAUAAUGAAAGCAAUCUGUAAAUAGUCAUAUAAUGUAAUAAUUAAAAAUACCCACAUAUUUAUAAUAUUAAUGAUGGGAUCCAUGUGUUUAUACUAAUUAAAUUGGUGGACCAGAAUUUAUUUGACCGUACUUGUUUUCUAUUUAAUUAAGAUUGAAACGAUAGAGAAAAAUUGUCGUAUUGAUUGUUUCGAUUGUGGAGUUCCAACACUGAAAGUGAAGAUUUCAUCAACUUUCUCACAUGGACACGUACCGUCAUGCAUAUUGCAUUAUUUUCCUAGAAAAGCAAGAUUAAUUCUUUUAAUAAUUGUGAAUUCAGGAAAACAGGUGGAUAAUAACUAAAAUAUUUAUUUUUAUAUUUUUGAUAAACGCACUCACUAUUAAUAGAAUUCAUUAGAUAUCAUAACUUAAAUAACUUUUUGUGAUUGAUUGAGGGUAUCUUUUACUUCCCAAUAAUUAACUUCUAUGUUGAUUCUCAGAAAAUUAAUUUUACGAAUAAUUUAGUAGGGUGUUUGGUAAAUGAUGAUUAUUUGACAAUCAGUUUUCAAAUAGUCUACUAUACAAAUUUGAUAAGUGAAAAUUGAAAGUGUAAUAUUCAUGUGCAAUGAUAAAAAUGUACUUGUUUGCUUAUUUGUAGCUUAUUUAGAAUAUUAUUAUUAACAUCAUUUUUUUAUUUACUGGAUUUUUAAAGAGUAUAUUCUACUUUCUUUAUUACAUAUCUAUAUCAUUUUUUUAUUAACUAUUUUAAUUUGCAAUAAAACUAACUUUAAUAUUUUUUAACUAAAAAAUUCAUGCUAACAUAUUAUUAAAUUGAUUAAUAAAUAAGUGCAAAAAGAAAAUGCAAAAAUUUAAUCUUUAUAUAAACUUUUAUGUACAUAAAACUAUUGCAAUCAAAGUAGUUCAUAAAAAUAAAAUAUUCUAUACAUGUGUGUAAAAAAAAAAUAUAACUACAAUAUUGUCCACUCAUUAAAUUUGCAGCACUAUUAUUUCUCAGUCUCCCCAUCUCUCGACCUUUACCUUUAGGAACAUUAACACCAUGAUCUUCUUCUUGAAUUCGACCUCCAUUUCCACAGUAUCAACAAGGCGAUCAAUUUGCUGUGACAGCCUUUCAACUCCUCCCACUUUCCUCCCUUUUGAGGCCGCCCUUUUUCUUUUUCUUUCUUUGAUAGCUUCAAUGGGAACAAACUCAUCUAACGACAAGUACAUUCUUCAACCACAGUAGAAUUGGUUGUUGAUAUUUUACUACUCUCAUAUGGUAUGUAAACAUGGUCACCAGUGAUUGUUAUAUUAAAAAAAAAUUCUAUUCAAUUUUUCCUCUGACUUUGUGUCGAUACCUUUCAUGCAAAAUCUAUUUGCUUCAGAAAUUUCUUCCGUAUGUUGAUAUCAUAUUAAAGUGAAUUCAAGAUCCUAUAUUAUUUUGCAUGACAUCAAAGUUUAGCCGAAUGGUAAAGAAUUUCCCUUUUUGUUUGUCCCACAACUAUAUAGUCUCAUUUUUGGCAAUAAGCUCACAAUAUGCACGGAAAUGAAGAUUUAUUAAAAACUUCCCUAUAAUAUUAAACACUAAACAAUAUCACUAUAACCAAAGUUGGCUGGUGUGAGUGGUUCGGCACUCUCACUCCUUAAGAGAGGUCAGGGGUUCAAGCCCCGCUCUCGUAUGGAGUCACCACUUUGGCCAGCACUUUACCCCUUAUGGGCCGACCCGGUGCGAGCGGGGAUUAGUCUGGGUUGUGGUACGGGCUUAAAGGUGCCUCCCACAGUUGGGGCCCACUCAGGACCACCUCGUGGUUCAGACCAAAAAAAAAAAAUAAACAAUAUCACUAUGUUGUGCAUAUGGUGCCUCGUCAACAAUUUGAUGUUCAUUUUGUUGCUCGGGUGAAUAUGACUACUUGGGUUGCGAGUCCAUGCUUUUGUCGUUUGGAUGGAGGACGGGCCAUCUUUUUAUUUUAGAUGGUUUGUAGGACUUUUGAUAAUUAUUUUUCUAAAACUGAUUUCUGGUUAAUAAGACCUAUGAAAGCAUUCGAAGAAGCCACCGAACUCAGAGGAAAGCCAUGGUUAAAUAUACUGCGAAGUAUGUGAGCUCGUUUUUUAAUCUCUUGAUCACUCAUAAGCUUUUCUAUACCACUCACUAUAUCAUCCUUUUGAAUCAAUUUUGAUUGAUCAUCAGAGAUCAUGUACCCACCUUGAGAUGAUUGAUCACAAAUUUGGCAUUGUAAUGUUGGUCACCUCUAAUUGGCCAUGCUAAAAUUGGGACUUGACAACCAAUUGUUUCACUGUUGAAUUCCAUCCACAGUGAGAUAAAAAUUCACCCGUUGAUUCAUGUCCCGCUCUCUUAUGAAGUCACCACUUUGGCCAGUACUUUACCCUUUAUGGGCCAACCCGGUGCGAGCGGGGAUUAGUCUGAGUUGUGGUACGGGCUUAAAGGUGUCUUCCACAGUUGGAGCCCACUCAGGACCACCUCGUGGUUCAAACAAAAAAAAAAAAAUCCACCCGUUGAUUGAUGACUCAAUAUCAAUAAUUGUGGGGCUCAUCCAUCUAUUAUCAAACCCGUUUCACCGACUUUAUUAUCCAAACCACUACGAAAAUAACUGCCUUCUACUGGUUUGUUCAAAUGACGUAGAGGAUCCAAUCUACCUGCACCACCUUGAAUUACCCAAAUAAACGGUCGAUUUGAUGCUUCUAAAGCAUUGGCUAGUACUAGGUACUCAUCUAAGGUCGGAUCCACUUCAGUACCAAAUGACACAUAUAACACAGAUCCGCGUGAUUUCAAAUUCAAUCAUUGAACGAUCUCAUCUUCCGUCAUGUUAGAACUCCGCCGGUUGGUUCUCAUCUCAUGAUCAUGAAGCACUUAACCGGCCAAUUUGUAAAAUUGUUCAGGUAACAGUGGGCCCACUCCCCACAUCGGCUUUCUCAAUUCAUUGGCUAAAUAAUUAUAAAUGGUCCCUCAAGACCAUCACACGUGUUGAACAUCAACGCCAUUGAUCCCUCCGCUUCCUUCAUCCAGUGUGGUUGAUCACCGGCCUCUGGUGGACCUAUUUUCUCGGAACCAGGUGCACCUCUCAGAGGUGGUGGACCACCAGGAGGGUGCCCAUGAGGCCUUGUUUAAGAUUCGAUUCAAAUAAAGCCAUAUCCUCGGGUAACCCAGGAAGUAAAUGGGCCUCUCCCGGUUUGACAUCUUGGAUGCGAGCCUACCACAUGGCACACUCCACAGCUGCCGAGCAAGCACCAGAAGUGAAGAACCCAACAAUGGGAACUUCAAAAAUCUUGAAAACAUCAGCCGUCCAGCCCAUCAUAACGUCGAUGACUGCACAAACGGGUCGGCUUUUGGGUUCCCGGGUUGAAAGGAGGUUUCGAAGGCCUUGAAGCAUUUGGUUGUGCAUGACAACAUGGGGGUGAGGAGACGAAGGAGGGUAUUUUAGUAAUUUCAAAUAGAGGGUAUUGGUGAAGAGGGGAAGGGGUGAUGCUGUGUUGAAUCAAAAUAGAGUAAAAACUCUAAUUGAUCAAGAAGAAGAAAAACACUCUUUAGAAUAAUCUCACAAAAUUGCAAAAGAGAAGAACUCUUAAGAAAACUUUCAAAUGCUUAUAAUAAAGCUUUGAUUGUUAAAUUAUAAAACUCAAAUACAAAUAAGGUAUUUAUAGGUUACAAGAAACAAUCUAAACCACUCAUUAAAAUAACCACAAACUAAUUUAAACCAUUGAAAUUAAACAUGAGAAAAAUACCUAAUUUUCACCUAACUAAAUUGAUGUAAGCAAUGACAUCAAAUUAAUUUGGGUGUGGACUUAUUUGGGCUAAUAUUGACUUCUCAACACUCCCCCUCAAUGUUAGCCCAAUUCUUUGAAUCACGCCAAGCUGACGACGGAAAUGUUCAAACUUUCCAACACUCAAGCUUUUUGUAAACAAGUCCGCAGUUUGCUCAUCUGUCUUGACUUGCCUCAUCUCAAUCUCUUCUUGCAGAACUUUUUCCCUAACAAAGUGGUAAUGCACUUCCACAUGUUUAGUUCUUGCAUGAAAAACAGGAUUCUCCGCCAGCCGAAUUGCCGAUUGGUUGUCACAGUACAACAGAACUGCAUAAUCUACUGGUUGAUGUAGAUCAUUCAUUAGUUGUAUCAGCCACGUGCUUUCUUGAGCUGCCAUUGCUGCUGCUCGGUACUCUGCUUCCGUAGUUGACAAGGACACAGUCGGUUGUCUCUUGCUACACCAAGAAAUCGUUCCAGAUCCAAGGGUAAACAUAUACCCAGUAGUUGAUCUGCGAGUAUCGUGAUCUCCUGCAUAGUCAGCAUCACAGUAGCCAACUAGUUUGUAAUUUCCACCUUUCUUGUAUAGAAGACCAUAGUCUAUUGUACUCUUCACAUAUCUGAGUACUCGCCGAACCGCUUCUAAAUGAGACUUCUUCGGAUUUUGCAUGUAUCGACUCAUCACACCAACUGCAUAAGAAAUGUCAGGUCGAGUCAAGGUUAAGUAGAUUAGACUACCCACUAAUUGUCGAUACAUCGAUGCAUCUUCCAGGUCUUUGCCUUCAUGUGCACACAUCUUGGCAUUUGGUUCCAUCGGCGUUGAGAUCGGCUUACAUUCUAGCAUCCCAAACUUCUUCAACAAAUCUUUGGCAUAUUUCUGUUGACAAAGAAAUAUCCCUUCUUUCAUCUGAUCAACCUCUAGCUCAAGGAAAUGCUUAAGUUGUCCAAGUUCUUUCAUUUGAAAACGAACUGACAAGUUCUCCUUUGUUCGGAAAAUUUCUUCAAUAUCAUCUCCAGUGAUGAUUAGAUCAUCUACGUACACGAGCACAAUAGCUAUCCUUUCUCCAUUAGCUUUAGCAAACAAGCUGGAGUCUGCAGAUGUUACUGAAUACCCACUUUGAGUUAGAAAUUCAGCAAUCUUGCCAUACCACGCCCUGGGUGCUUGUUUUAGUCCGUAGAGAGCCUUUUGCAGCUUACACACAUACUCAGGAUGACCUCGGUUCUGAAAACCCAUCGGUUGAAUCAUGUAGAUCUCCCGAUCCAGCUCUCCAUGGAGAAAGGCAUUCUUCACGUCCAUCUGCCACAAGUUCCAGCUUUUGUUGGCUGCAAGUGCAAGUAAGACUCGGACGGUUGUAAGUUUUGCCAUUGGACUAAACGUUUCGUCAUAGUUUAGUCCAUAUUGUUGAGAGAAACCACGAGCUACCAAUCGAGCCUUGUACCUCUCGAUUGACCCAUCUAGACGGUGCUUUAUUUUGUAAACCCAUCUGCAGGAUAUGGGUUUCACAUCUUUUGGCUUUGGCACGAGUUCCCAGGUCUGAUUUUGCUCAAGUGUAGUGAUCUCGUCUUUCAUAGCUGUCAUCCACUCAGAACUCUGUGAUGCUUCUUCGAAUGUCUCAGGUUCUAUUCCAGUUGCUUCUUCAACUAUGGCUGCAUUAGCGUAUUUGGGAUUUGGCCUUCGGGUUCUUGUUGACCUUCGUAAUGGAGUUGAUUCUUCCGUUUCACUAGGCACACCUUCUUCAUCUGGUUGUCGAUACACCCCAGAUUGCCAAGGAUUUAGAGUUACUCUUCGUUCGCUAUCACUAUCGCAUAGAUCCCCAGCUGAGCUUAGAUGAAUUUGGACAGUAUGCUCCCCCAUCUUUUGUUGUAGCAUGUCUUCGAAUUCUUUCGAGUCUGGCAGCACUUCUUUUUCUGAGGUCCACCAUGAGGAUGCUUCAUCAAACACCACAUCUCGUGAUGUGUAGCACCUUUCAUUUACUGGAUCACAACACUUCCACCCUUUUCGCUGGUUGUCGUAUCCUACAAAGAUACAUCUGACAGCUUUCUUAUCGAUCUUGCUACGUAGAUGGUCAGGAACAAAUACAUAGCAUACACAGCCGAAUACUCGAAGAUAGCUAACUGUAGGUUUCUUGUUCCACAAUUUCUCAAAGGGUGAAACAAACUCCAACCUUGGUUGAGGAAGCUUGUUGAUGACAUGAGCUGCAGUUCUCAUACCUUCGGCCCAAAAUCUUCCAGGUACAUUCUUCGCAUGUAGCAUACUCCGGUAAAUUUCAGCAAGAUGCCGAUUCUUCCUCUCUGCUACACCAUUUUGUUGUGGCGUAUUAGCACAAGUAUACUGAUGACGUAUUUAGCAUUCCCGUAGGUAUUGAGAAAACUCUCUCGAGCUAUACUCACCCUCGUUGUCUGUGCGCAAGCAACGAAUCUUUUGCUCCACUUCUCCUUCGACUAUCUCUUUGAACUCUUUGAACUUUGAGAAUGCUUCAGAUUUUUCUUUCAUGAAGAAAGCCCAUACAUAUCUGGAGAAAUCAUCAAUGAACGUAACCAUAUACCACAUUCCGCCAAUUGAUGGUUGCUUAACGGGUCCAAACACAUCAGAGUGAAUUAACUCUAAUGGUUUAUUUGCUUUAAACUUCGACUCCUCGUAUGGCAAUUGAUGUGCUUUACCAUAUUGACAUCCCGCGCAAACAAUAUUUGUUCUCACGUCAAGUUGAGGAAGUCCUUUAAGCAUCGACUUCUUCACCAUCACACUUAGCUUGGAAUAAUUAACAUGACCUAGCCGCAUGUGCCACAGAUCUGCCGUCUCAUUCCUUCUUGUCUUGUCUACGUAUGCAGACUCAGCUGACAUCACAUAAACUGACUCCAAUUGUCGUCCCUCCAUCGUAGGCUUUUCUGAGAUCUUUAAGUCUCGGAAUACCUUCACAUUUUGUGGACCAAACAAGACAUAGUGGCCUGAUGAUGUCAAUUGAGCUACGGAUAGCAAAUUUUUCUUCAUUCCUGGAACAUGGUAGACAUCUUGAAGUGGCACUUGGUUGGGACUAUAUCGAGGUGUAACGAUCGCUUUACCGAUGUGAGCUAUCGGUAACCUUGAGUUGUCAGUUGUUACCACCACACGAUUUCCCUUGUACUCAGAACAAUUUUGCAACUUCUGUCUAUCACCCGUCAUGUGAUUUGAGCAGCCUGAGUCUACGAUCCAAUCAUUCUCGUAGUUAAUCUUUUCUGGUGUUGUUACCGUGAGAGCUAAUUCUUCUUCCUCCAUAGCGAGUAAUGCUUCGGCAUCCCAGUUAUCUUCACUAUCUUCUUUAGAACUAGAAGUAGCAAUAUUGCUUUCGGUAGACUUCUUUUUGGACCAACAAUCUCUCUUCAUGUGGCCCUUCUUCCCGCAAUUGUAACAUUCGCCAUCAAACUUUCUAUUACUGUCGCGAUUCUUCGAAGCUCCCCCUGGACGAGAGCCAUUCCCUCCCUGAUGACUUUUUGUCUGUUCACCAGUCUUUCUAGAUCCGCCUUUGUUGUGCUGUCUUGAACCACCUCUGCUUUGGUUGGUGUAAAGCGCUUCCUCUUCACCCUUUAGUGAGACUCCUCCCAUUUUCUUGGCCAUAGCUUCUUGGCCUGUCAGCAAAUUUUCAAACUCAACAAGUGAUGGUUGUGUCGGCCAUCCUUGCACAGCGGCUACAAAGCUUCGGUAUUCGGGUCUCAAGCCAUGGACAAUUAUUCUUUUUAUCCUGGCUUCCCCAAUAGCAGCUAUUGGAUCUAAUUCUGAAAUUUCACGGCAUAUCGACUUCACCUUGUGAAAGUAUUGGGCAAUCGCCAUGUCGCGUUGCGCCAUUGAUAGAAGUUCAUUCUCGAGAAGUUGCAAUUUUGUAUCGUUCCUCUUCGAAAAGAGUGUAGCGAAGGUGUCCCACGCUUCCUUCGGUGAUUUAGCAUCCCGAAUGUGCUCCAACAUUUCUUCUUCUAUUGUGGUCUUUAAAGCAAACAUUGCUUUGCCUGCUUUAAUUUUCCACUUCCGCAAGACGCCGUUAGCAUCUUCCGCUGCCGGUUGUGUAACUUCACUACCACCGACAACCUCCCACAAGUCUUGACCUUGAAGGUAAGACUCUAUACACGUUGCCCACGUGUUAUAGUUUUGGUUGUUGAGCUUUUUGAUUCCUCCAACAACUUGAAGAUCACCCAUCGUAUCGGUAUCGACAAGACUUUGACUACACCGAACAAGCUUGAGUGACUACCGUGCAGAGUAAUACACUACUCUUGACACAAAGAAGCUCCCUCUCAAGGUUUGUGAUAACCCCAGCAAUAAUCUCAAGAAAUCUUUUCUGAUGUGGAAGAUCAGUCAAAACUGCAACCACAGAGCAUACUCGGAAUUUCAAGAGACUUUACAACCAAUGCUCUGAUACCAAAUGUUGAAUCAAAAUAGAGUAAAAACUCUAAUUGAUCAAGAAGAAGAAAAACUCUCUUUAGAAUAAUCUCACAAAAUUGCAAAAGAGAAGAACUCUUAAGAAAACUUUCAAAUGCUUAUAAUAAAGCUUUGAUUGUUAAAUUAUAAAACUCAAAUACAAAUAAGGUAUUUAUAGGUUACAAGAAACAAUCUAAACCACUCAUUAAAAUAACCACAAACUAAUUUAAACCAUUGAAAUUAAACAUGAGAAAAAUACCUAAUUUUCACCUAACUAAAUUGAUGUAAGCAAUGACAUCAAAUUAAUUUGGGUGUGGACUUAUUUGGGCUAAUAUUGACUUCUCAACAUGCUGGUGGCGGAAAUGUGAGAGGGAAUGGUGAGGGUAGAUUUGUAAUUACGAGAAGCGAUUUGCUUGCAUAAUUUAAUGCAUGGAAAUAGAUGUCCCUGACCAAAGAAUGGGACAAUCCAAAUCUCGGCCUCAGCAGCGCUGCAGCAGUAGCAACAGAGCUUGACAUCUUUUUGAAUUAUUUGAUACUUAAUUGUUACUGUUUGCUUUUACCAUCUUUCAUAAAACACUCUUUGUUAUAUAUAAAGGGAUGACUUAAUGGAGAAGUAAGUGUUUUAGUUUUACAGUUUUACUAGUAGGUGAGCUCGGAGUUUGAUAAUUUGAUUGUUAGUUUUAGUUGGUUAGUUAUGAGAAAGCAUCUUUAAGAAAAUUCAUUCCAGUUUCAACUAAAAUUAAUAAUAUUGUUCAAAUUAAUUACUCGAUAAAUAAAUAAUUAGAGAUAAAUUUAUCCCUAAUCUCACAUUUAUAAAAUAAGGAUUGAAAUAAGUUUUUGUGGGUUCGAACUCAAGCCCUCAAGUCGAGCGGCUGGAUCUUGACUACUUUGACUUAAUUAUUAUUAUUAUUAUAUAUAUAUAUAUAUAUUUUUUUUUUCAUUCUGUCACGGAACAUCUUUUGUUAUAUAAUGAAGAAGAUAAGUUGACGAAGAAGAGUUCUACUUUUACUAGUAGAUGAGCUUUGAGUUGACAACGUUAGUUUUAGUUAGUGAAAUAUCUACCAUCCAAAUCAACGUUCUUUAGACUAUUAUUCAAGUGAGAUGUCUGAGUAACAUACGCUUGAGUUGGUCGGUGCCUGGCAAUUCGUGUGAUACAUGAAACCAACCGAUAUGAAAACCAAAUCAAGUUGGUAGGAUUACAUUAAUUUAAAUUAACUUUCAAGUUCUAAUAUUAUAAGAUAAAUAAAUAGCAUAAAAUAAUUUUUAUUUUCAAGUAAAUAUGUUUAUCGUUUAAAAAUUAUUUUUUCUUGCGGUAAAUGCAACACUAAAUAAGGAGUGAAUAGGGUAAUUUGUAGGGUAUACCCCCACCUUUUAUUUCAUUUCAUUAUUAAAAAAUAAAGGCUUGAUUCAACAUUCAAGUAAAAUUAACAAUUCCAUGAUAAAAUUGCUUGAGAAUAAGAAUUAAAAUAAAAAAAGAAAACAGCAACUCAAAAACGACAUACAAAUACCGCAUAGAGGUUUUUCGUCGCAAGAUAUUUUUGGGUUGAGCAACACUUGUAUAACAGAGCAUACAGACUGAAUGACGGUGAGAAUAAGAAGGAAAACGGCGCCACACACCGAAAUGCCAGCCCAUGGAGUAUUGAAGUAAUUUUGUUUCAAGUUUGCCCUCCAUUUGUAGCACGUUCUUUUGCAGUGAUCAUUCAAUCCUUUGCAUAGCCCAGAAAAAUAGAAGCUAUCAGACAGCAGAGUAGUACCUCUAGAAAGGUUAUUUAUAAGCAUUGACGCAGUCUCUUUAUCCGGCAACCGGUUCUCAAUGAUUCCGUUCUGAACAAGCAACUCGACGUCCUUCGCUGUGUUCACGAGAUGAUGAAUAAGGAACACAUAAUCAUUUAUGUAAUUCUCUGAGUAAUGCCGUUGUUCAAAGGCAAUGAGAUUACGAAAUAAGGAUUCCGUUUCCAGCUGUAGCUUCAGUUUCGGAAUAUGCAAUGUCCUGUUUUUGAAUUCUAUGGCGAACAAAUCAUUGCUCUUGCUCAAACUGAAGUGGACUCCAGCUUGGUGGAGAUCAGUCACACUUGGUGCGGUUUUGCCUUUGUGGUAUUGCUGACCUUCUUGUUUUUCCUGAUUCCUCGAUGAUGGUAGAUGACAAAUCCUUAGAAAAUCAAGGAAAUGCUCGACCCUAACCUCAGUGUAAGGAGGGAAUUUUUGCUGAUUACCUUGUACUGCCUCUAAACCCUUGAAAUACUCGUAUGUGACUGUGAUGAUGGUUGGAUUUUCAUGUUGGUCGGGGAUUUCAAUAGCAAAAAGAUCCUCAAGAAUGAAGAAAGGAAGCUGAUUCUCAAGCAACCACAUAUCAUACCAUAUAUCCUCUAUUAAAUAGGGUUUAAGAAAUAUAUAAUCAUCUUUUUUUUGAAGUUGACGGAAAUGAUGCCUCAAUAAGAGUUCAAUGAUGAAGGCAGCAUCCAGCAGAAUCAUUUCAACAAAUUUAUCACUACUUAGUUCGACUUUUUCUGCAUAAGAACCUCGUAAUUCUGCUUCUCUGAGCUUUAUAAUUUGAACAAACUCGUCAAAGCUUAUUUUGGUCCGUUGAAGAAAGUAACGCAGGUACCGCUGUUUAUGUUCUUCCAUGAACUGUAAGUUUGCUUUGCCAUGGUGAAGAGGGCCAAUUGAGACUACCUGAGCUGUAUAUGCCUUUUCAUUUAUCUGACGUAAUCGCUCCGGAACUCUGUAGAUGCAGCAGUUUGAGGGCAAUGGUGAUAAUUUUUCCAACUUAACUUGCAAGCACUCUUCCAUGUUAUAAACUGAAAACAUGGCGCGAAAUUUGAUCAAUUCACUAGUUUAUAUAAUAUUCUUGAACCUCAUCUUAAGCAAAGCAACAAAAGCCUUCACUGUUUCUUAACAACUUUAUUGCUCUAACACAUAGCAUAACAUUUUUAAAUUUGCAUAAAGCACAAUAGUACUUUAGUUUGUAACAACAGCACAGAUAAUAAAUAGCAUUUUAUAGCUUUAACAAAAGCAUACAAAAUUCUUAAACCUUGUUUCAAGCAAUUCAUUAAUGCCACAAGGAUGUCUUUUUGCUUCCUACAGUUUUUAUUGAAAUUCAUAUAUUCUUCUUUAUCAAAUUAAGUAAUUUUCCUUUUUCAAAAAAUCAAGAAGGUUUCGACUGCAUGGAAAUACAGCACACAAUUACUACUAUUCCCGGAGUAAGAAAUUCAUAAAUGCAAUAUAAACAUACAUUUUCAUAAGACAUCAGAAUCAAAGAAUCAUCAAUGCAUCAAAUCUGUACACCCAAAAAAGUUGAAAGCACCAAGAGAAAAUUAUACCGCAUGGACCCUUUACAACCCUUAUAACGAGUUCAGACAGCUACAAUGUGCAAUACAAAAUUUCCCAAUACUAUUUAGAACAAAGUCUAGAAAACAAAACUUAUAUAUUGUACAAAAUCAUGAAAACCAGAAAUGACAAAAAACCUGCAAAUGUAAUUUUUGGGUUUCUUCAACAUAUCUUCCAUCCAAAUCAAACAAGAAUCGAUAAAUCAACAACAUUCAUCUUUAAAUGACAUAUUACCACAAUAAAAUUGUCAACCAAGCCUCAUAUAAACCUUUUUUGUGUUUUGUGGUAAAUAUAUUUGUUAUUCUCUAAGAAUACUAGGGAAAAAAGAAACCCACUUUCUUAAUCAAGAAUCAAAUAAUAUAUAUUUAUCUAAGCUGAAGUAAGUCUUCGGUUUGAUGAAAUAGCUUGCAAUGUGAUUUAGAUUGGAAAGGAAGUUGAUUUUUGCUGGUUGAGAGAGAGAGAUUUGAGACUUAAGAGUGUUGCUAAUCUUCGAUCGUGUAAACAAGGGUAACUGGGUCAUAGUUCAAAAUAAGGGUCCAAAAUUUACUAAAGCUAUUAAGGAGCCCAAAACUCAUAAUGGCUUGCCCAAAAUAAAUAAAAUUUUCGAGCAUUAAGUUUUUGUUUCUUCUUGAGAUUUCCUUGCCGUACUUACCCAUAUUUCGAUAUUGCCUCCAAGUAAACUUAUAUAUAUUGAUUAACAAUAUAAACAAGCACUAUGAAGUUUUAGGCAUGAAAGAACAUUAGGAUUGAAAUGAAAACCAUCUAUUUAAGUAACAAAUUCUUCUGAUAAUUUGAUGCUUAAUUUAGAGCAGAGAUGACAUAUCAAUCACGUUAUGAUGUGGAAGUUAUGAUUAUAUUCAUCUUAAGAAUAAGAUCUUUCAGACACUGGCAGAUUAGUAUAAAAAAUACUCAGCAUAAGACCUACAAACUAGAAAUCACGCACCAAUUAUUGAACUCAGCACAUAAGUUGAUCUUUUAUAAGCUAUAAAACAAAUCUGCUAUAACAUAAGAAAGUGGGAUUUAUCACCAGACAAGUAUUUUGGUGAAAUUCAAGCUGACGGAAGGAUAUCCAAAGCAACCUCCUUAAGGGAAGGCAUCACUUCCUGCUGAUGCAAACAUGUAUAUUUAUUACUCACUUUCUUGAGGACCUUCUAGGAACCUGGGCAGCACCUAACAGAAAGUGGAAAAGAAUAAAAUGUAAAAUAUAAGUUAAACAGCAGGAAAACAGUGAGUGAUACUAGGCAAGCAUUAAUAUGUUGCCGCAGGAAAAGUGUCAGUAACUAGCUAGCAAACCUGAAAAGGGUUCCUCCAUUGUGACCCUUAAAAUUGUGAAUGUAAAAUAUGGUCUCCAUCACAGGAAAAAGUGUUUUGGAUAGUGCAGCCAGCUUAGGGUAGAAGAAUGACGGAUAAUCUUUAGCUCAUUUAAGGAAAUCCUCUCUGAUCCUUUCAUUGCACAUUCCAAAACAACUCUACUACAACCAAGUUACCAAUUCUUUUUGUUAAGUCAUUGUUAUUUGUUAAAAAAAAAAAAUCUUCCUUGCAACAUUUUAUUGAAAGAUAUAACAUGAUCAUCCCUACUAAUUCCCUUUUAGAUUUCUGUGAGUGAAUUUCAAAUUAUUGUAUUCAAAAAUAGAAGCAAAAGACCCACUUUACUUUCAAUUUCUGCAACAAGAUACCAAUUGAAGGACCAAAAAGUUGUAAACAACCAAUUCAAUGGGUGGGCAUCUAGAAACUGCUAUAUAGCAUCAAGAUCAUACUAAAUUUACAGAAAGUACGAUAAUAAUGAAAGAAUGGUGAAGGAUACACCCAGACCUUAUCCGGUCAAGUUCUCCAUUGAAUAUAAUCAGUUUCCGGGCAGUAUUGAAGACAACUUCUUUGUAAAGCUCUUCAACGACAAGCAUUUCUACAAGACAAAAGAAAAGCAAAAUUAAUUACCUUAAGGAAUGAAUAUCAAUGAGAAGACAACGUGUAAGACUACCAUUGACAUUAAAAUAUGGAUACGCGACUAGAAACAAUUCAUCUUCCGGCUUCACACGGUCUGCCUUUUUAACCUUCUCAGUGAAUCCAAAAUCCUCAAAGAAUGAAGGUUUUGUUAGAUAGUCCAACUUAAAUGAUGAUCCUUCAAAGACCUAUUUUCUUGCAAAUUUGACUUCAUUUGCCUCUGGGAAAAACUAAAAACCAAAUGACAGACCAAGAUCACAAAACGAAUCAUGAACAUAGAUAUCAGAUAAUCAGAAAUGGGCAUUAAACAGACUACUAACAAAUAGGAAAUGCAUACAGAAAACAUUAUUCAUACACCUUAUGCACAUGAAAUAUAUAUGCAGUGGGAUCCUCUUGUGAAUUUAGUUUAUAUCCUAAAAUGAGACAAUGAACAAUUGGAUGCCAUCUAAGGGCUAACAUUUGUUUGAUUAUUAUAUGAAAAAAAAAAACAAAACAGAGUUGAUUGAUGGCCUUUGAUGGAUUGCCUACACUCCUAAAGUGCAGAGAGCCUGAUUAAUUGCUUUACCUGCCCCCCACACACACACUUGAUUUUAUUAUCUCUCUUUUCAAAUAUAUAAUCAUUGCCUGUCUUUCAUCCUGAUCCAGCUCUCCUUCCAGGCACCAGCUGUGUUUUCUUCAAUUCAGUGAAGCAUUCACUUUCAGGUAAGAAUAAACUUGUCCUUCCUCAAAAAUCAGCUUCUCACCAUGAAGCUUUCUUUUUCAAAACAAUUACUAGUCUAGCAUAAUGCAUCUAAUUGAAGACAACUCAGAAUUGAAAAAGCCAUACUUUAAUGUCUGCUGUUGGGACCUCAAGACCAGGAAAAAAAAGCUUCUUUCUAACUGUUGGAUUAACAAGUAGAAAUAGCUUUUUUCUGAAGGACCCAACAUUGCAUUGAAAAAUUCAACAAAAGGACUGGCGUCAUAUUUAGUCCUGCUAGAAUUUUGUGCACUUAACACAAUGGUUAAUAAUUGGCCCAGCAGACACUUUGUCGAACUACUGGCAAACCUUGACUGUGGAAAUGCAUAUUUCAAAUGUUGGCAGACUCUAGCUUCUUGAUGUACUGUUGAUAAAAAUGCCUAUUUCAAAAGUUGGCAGGCUCAAACUGCCGAGACUUUGGUUUCUUACAUUUCAAACCCACAAAUAAAACUUUGGCAGAACCCCAGAAAGAGCUACACCUCCCAAAUUUGAUGACAUAUGAAGAGACCAUGCCUAGUGCUUGGUUCGGCAAAUGAGUAAGUUUGAAAUAAAUUGAGGGAAACCUUUCCCACAGAGAGUCAUUUUGAAGGUUACAAUUUGAAGACUUUGUCCCCUGUCGCCCGUAACCUUCUUUGAUCUCUUUUCUUAGUCAUGAAUAAUCAAACAUGUGUUAGUGGUUGGAUGCAAUCCACUCGCUGACAUCUCAUGUCCACAAUCAAUCAACCAUAUUUUAAUAGAAAUGGAAACAUUUUAAUUAAAAAAGAAUGAGAUAGGAACAAAAUCAAGCUUGGCAGACAUGGGUCUAUGAGAUUUUAAAGAUGCUUGGUGAAAGUCGUAUUCAAGAGUUCAACAAUCAGUUCCAUCACCUAUGGCAAAGUAACCACCGCAACUAAAGCAAUUACAAAACAUCAAGAAGCUUGAACUUGGCAAGAGGUCUCAUUAACAGUAUACCUCAGAAAUUAAGACAGAAUUAAAGUGCAAGCUUUUGGAUUUAUUUAAACACUGAAAAUAAUAUGGGUAGAAGCUCCUAUGGUCACAGCAAACAAUUACAAAGCACAAAACCCAAAAAACAGAUAUGCAAAAAGCUGCAAAAGAACAUUAUUAGCAAUUGACAUCUGCUUUUGCUCAGACAAAGGUUCUCAUAACAAAGGACUUAGUGAUUAUCUGUCAUAUGUUUAUGUUAAGGGGAAAAAAGAAGUUUGUUUUAGUCAAUCUCAUGUCUAUUGGCAUUCAUAAGGAGCCCAAAAAUAAAAGAAAAAAUAAAGAGUUAGUAGGUGUUUCUUGCAACACAAAGAAAAUUUAUCAUCCAUGAAAAACUUAGUAUGGAAAAAGCUAACUCAUUUAUCUGCCAAUGCAGAAAAACUUGUUGUCUACCCACUAAGGACCCACCAUUGGCAGGUCUGAUGGAUCCCAUGGAUGGGAACCACAAAUAUUUUAUUCUAAAUGACAUGGGUAUUGCACCCAUAUCAUUUAAUUUGUAGAUUCCACUGAUGGAACUCAUCAAACUUGCCAAAUGGCAAGUCCUCCGUGGGUAGGCGCAUCACUUCAGCAUCCUUCUCCACCGAUGACCAAAUCUGGACUCAUUUAAAAAGAAUACAAAGCAAACUAACUGACAAAAAUUGCAUAUAGAGGUCUAGGAGCCAAAUCAAUGUUGUUAACUCAUCCAAUUAAUACAUUCUCUUAGAGGUCAUACCUUGGUAACUCAUUUCAAAAGAAAUUAAAAGAAAAAUGACUGCACAAAUUGUACUGAGCUCAAGAAGACCUGUUCAAGGUGUUCACUUGUCCAACUAAUAAAAGUCAUCAAGGAUUGUAUCAGGGACUUGGGACCAAUCCUGCCUUAACGAGAGAAAGGGAAUUUAGGAUGAAGAAGAUAACCUCUUUUCCUAGAGCAAAUUAAGCUGGUAAAAUCUUGGCAGUUGCACUUGGGGCAGAAAUUAGUUCCACCUUGGUUUACAGGACAGAAAUUCGUCAUAUGCAUGUAUUUAUUUAUAUUUUAUACACAUACGCAUACAUGUACACACAAACACUACCUUCACUUUGAAGAAAAGAUUAAAAUAACACUGCUCACAUACACAAUACUUACUAUUCUAGUUCGUGUGACUUUCUCCGGAGUCACAAAUAGGUCAAAGAAUUCGCGUAUUAACCGCAUACUUCCAGUCAUUUCUAUUCCUCCUUCACCAUCACCUUUCCCACAAUUACAAAAAGUGAGAGGUAGUAACCAACAUAUUUGGGUUGUUCUUCGGUAAGGGGUGGGAGGUAAGGGUUAGUUGUGGAGGGCACCUGGUACAGAAUCAAGGCCAGCUGUUGGGAAUUUGAUCUCCUGUAACAUAUACUUGUUCAUCAUAAACUAUAUACUUAUUCUGCAGUCGAUGUGGGCAUAUAGCUCUUCAAUUAUCCAGUAAUAACUCACCAUCAACUUCCUGCCAUCCUUCAUGGCUAAUUCAGCAGCUAUUUUUGCCUGUUUAAAGGGCAAAAGCCCAAACUAAGCAGAUGCUCCUACUCCGAUACUUAUUAUCUAACUACUACAGAACAGAUGAUACACAUCAAGUUGUGUCAAGAGAGACACCAAGUUGUGUUUUCCAAGAGGUUCCAAAGAGGUUUUGUGUUAGAGUGCAAUUUAUGCACUAGUUUUGAAUUGUUUACUUCCUUAAUAUCGAUGUUUUGCACUUAAUAAUAGUGAUUUACUUGUGUUUUAUUUUUAUAGGUGCAAUUAUAUUGAUUGGUGCAAAAAUUGAGCUACAAGACGAUGUUUAAGGAUGAUUGUUCUCUUGGAGAAAUUAUGAGCGUCAGAAGAACUUUGUUGAUAAGGCGUGGGCGCGUGCUGUCAACUACGGACCUGCAGUUUUUAGUUUAACGUGUUUUGUAUUUUUGGUUAUUUUUAUAAUUACGAAUUUAAUAUUUCAGAUAUUAGUAUUUUAUUUUAAAUAGAACUCUAGAGGAGAAGAGAGAGAGAGUAUUUAAGGGAAGAAUCUAUUGUGAAAAAAGGGAGAUUUUUGGAAAAGAAAGAAACCCUAGAUCUAAAUUUUUCUCUUCUCUCCAUGAAGAACUAAAUCUAUUAUUCUGUUUGAAGGUUAAUGAAGCUUUUAUUCAUCACUACUGUGAGAUCUUUCUUAUGCUUUAAUUGUUUUAUUGCUUUUUGGGUAUUUGUUUAUUCUCUGAAUUAUUUUCAUGAUUAUGUUUGUUAAUUAGAUAAUUGGCUACUAUUUAAUUAUCAACUUAAUCUAUUGUCAAUUAAAGGAUUCAUCGUAUGAAGAUUUUAAUGUUUGUGACAAAUAACAUAGCAGAGAGUUGUGUUGUGAGAAUAAACAAUCUAAUUUAAAUGAACCAUCGUAUGUGUUUGUUGAUUAGGAUUUGGGUCUCUCUGGUUUUUCAAGCUGUCAAUUGAUUAAAUCCUAUGAUCGUAUCUAGGGUUAUCUAUUGAUUAGGGAAAUAACCAACGGUCAUACCUUGGUUAUCGACUAAUUAAGGAGAUAUUGGCUAUUAGAGGGUCUCAGUAGCUAUAACCGGUCUAUUCAUAAGUAGUAAUAAUUUAUAUUUGAAUCAAUGAUCAGUAGUCGAAUCAAGCUGAGUUAAUUCCUUCAACCAGAGCUUUCUCCAAUUUGAAUUACAACUUUAAUUUGCAUUCUUGUUAUUUUAAUUUGAUUGUUAUUAUUGUCACAAAACCCUCAUUUUAUAUUUUACGUUUUAAAAGGAUUUAAAUAAUUACCGAUCUCUGUGGACACGACUUUGCUCAAUCACUAUACACAAUUUAUUUAGAGUAGGUAUUUAUUUUUGUUGGCUUCGACAACCUUCAAAUUUUGGCGCCGUUGCCGGGGAUUGGUGUCAUUUAUUUAAUCCUUUUUACGUUUUACUUGGUGUAUGGUUCGUUCUUCUUGUACAGGUACACUUUCGUUUGAUCCUUAAAUUGAGAAGACAGCUCGCCAGCUGAGACAGCAGACGAAGCGAGCUAAGCAACGACACUCAUCGCCUUGCUUUCUGAAACAGAUACGGUGCCUGAUUUAGUUGAAUCAUCAAGCGAUUUAGAAGAACAAGUGAUGGAUAGAGCUGCACCUGUAGAAAGAACUCUUAGAGAGUUAGCCGAACCAGACUUGAAUCAGCAACCACUCUACAUUCAAUAUGUAGACUUGGAGGUAAAUUUUGAAUUAAAGUCUGGUCUUAUUCAUUUAUUACCCAAGUUUCAUGGUUUUGCAGGUGAAGAUCCUCAUAAACAUCUCAAGGAGUUUCAUGUUAUGCGUUCAAGUAUGAGGCCACAAGGCGUGACUGAAGAGCAAAUUAAGUUGUGUGCUUUUCCUUUCUCUUUAGAUGGGCUAGCUAAAGACUGGUUGUAUUACUGUUAGAGUGCAACUUAGCAUAUAAUUUUUUAGGCAAGAAAGAUCACUCAGGAGUUUUCUCUAAAACUGAAUUUUAUUUUAUCUGGUGCAUGUUAAAUGAUGUGAGGCCUAAUUUAGGUUUUUGGUUAGCAGAUCAAUUUCAAAGUGUGCUUAAACGGUAUAGGACUUUAUUUCUUGGUCCAUACAUUACUCUGUUAGCUAUAAACCUAUGUGUGCUUGAUCCUGACAAUAAUGAUUUGCAUCCUGCUUGCAAAAAAGAAUUUUUGGAUAUGUUUAUGUUUGAAAGAACAGGUGUGGUCGAAUUCAAGGAGCGGAGAUUUCAGUUUACUAAACCAGGGCCCACUCAACCUCCGAAGAAGCUUUAUGCUAGGAGUGGUGCUACCUCUGAUGACGAGUUUGACGACGACACUGCUGCCCCGCCAACUAUUCCUUCUACAUCCGCACCACCUUUGAGCAUUCAGUUAGAGAAAAUGGAGCACAAGCUGAAUAAGAUGGAGCAAAAUUUGGCCACAUACUUCGAGAAUGUGGGAUUUACCUCACCAUUUCCGCCAAGCCAAUAGACGUUAUGUGGAUCAAAGCUCACAAUUCAGGGAAGUUUUUUUUGCCUUUAAUCUUUUAUCCUUACGCUUUAAUUUUUAUGUGAGCUUUGAUUAUCUUACAUUGGGGACAAUGUAAGUUCUUGGUGUGGGGGAGGGAUUUUUGCAUUAUUGAUGUCUGGAAUUAUUAUUUUCACUCUACUCAUCUAUUUUCACUCUACUCGUCCUUAAAUGAUUUUGGAGUUAGUAUGCUUCAUAUAUUAUUAAUUUCCUUUUCCUUUCUCUCUCACUACUCUUUUCCCAUCUAUCUCAAAUUAUUUACAUCUAUUUUUUUUUCUAUCAUACUCUUUCAUCACUUACAUUUUAUCUUUCAUUUUUUUACUACAUACAUCUUUCUCGCUUAUUAUUUUUUUACCUUUCUUUUUAUAUCUCACUCAUACCUUCUUCUCAUUCUACACCACUCUUGAUGGUUGAUUCAUUUGAAGAGUGUACAUGAUUUGAUGGCAAAUUUACCAACUUUGUGAGGAUUUGAGCCUGUGAGCAACCACUUUGCUCUAAUUAUUUUUGUUAUGUGAAUAUCAAUCUUAGUUUGUAUAUUCUAGAACUUGCUUUGUUAAGCAUGUUGAAGCCACAUUACGGGAUUUUAUGCAUUAAAAUGAUAAGGGCAAACCAUUUACCAUUUUUCUAUUCUCGCAUUUUCUUUUUUCUCUACCCGAAGACCUUUAUUUGCUACCUUUGUUUGAGCCUUAACCAUUACCCAUCUAAUUCUUUCCAUCUACUUAACCAUUUUUCUUCUUUUUGAGCCUAAUUUAAGGAGAUAUUUGGACUCAUUGUGUGGAUAUAUUUUGUUGCUUUUUCUACCUUGUAUUAAAGUUUCUCAAUUAGAUCAACAAGCAUUAUGCUUGAAUUAAAUUGUGCAAGGUUCGUUUCUUUUGUUUGAUUAAAAAAAAACAACAAAAAAAAGGAAAAAGAAAAAAAAGUGAAAAAAAAAUCGAAAAAAAAAAUUGAAAAAAAAGGUUUACAUUCUUGGUGACUUGAGUAGAAAUAAGCAUUUUGAUAUCAUAAGUUCAUUCAAUGAGUUCAUUCUUCUCAUUUUGAUCUCUUUUUCUUUCAUAAACCUUUCUUUUUUAUUUAACCUAUUUAACUCCAUUACAACCCUUUUAAGACCCUUAAUUUUUUGCAUUUUAUUUAUGUUUUAUGGAUUGAGAUGUGAUAUAUGAGCAAGCUUAUGGUAAUAGCAUUCUUUGAUUUGAUUUGAGUGAAUAAAUGACACCCUAAACACUUUGAGUGCAUGGAGUGAAGUCAAUGAGAGGGCUAUUAAAUCUUGUUGCACUUGAAUUUUGAAUGGAUCUUCUUGGUGGUUGAAUGUUCUUAUUCUAUCUUAUGAGAUUCUAUGCUUUAAAAUCCUUGCCUCUCGAAUGUUGAUCGACUUAAAUUCUUGAGGUAUGCUUGCUUAAAAUUGUUUUUGGAUGAGUUGAGAUGAAAAUUGAGUGGAGAUUUGGGAUUAGUCUUGAGUUAUAUGCUUGAGGACAAGCAUCAUCUUGGUGUGGGGAAUUUGUUAGAGUGCAAUUUAUGCACUAGUUUUGCAUUGUUUACUUCCCUUAAUAUCGAUGUUUUGCACUUAAUAAUAAUGAUUUACUUGUGUUUUACUUUUGUAGGUGCAAUUCUAUUGAUUCUUGAUAAAAUUGAGUUAUACGAUGAUGUUUAAAGAUGAUUGUUCUCUUGGAGAAAUUUAGAGAGUCAUAAGAACUUUGUUGAUACGGCGUGGGUUCUUGCUGUCAACUGCGGACCUGCAGUUUUUAGUUUAACAUGUUUUGUAUUUUUGGUUAUUUUUGUAAUUAUGAAUUUAAUAUUUCAGAUAUUAGUAUUUUAUUUUAAAUAGAACUCUAAAAGAGAAGAGUGAGAGAGUAUUUAAGGGAGGAAUCUAUUGUGAAAAAGGAUUUGGAUUGGAGAAAAAGAAAGAAACCCUAGAUCUAAUUUUUCUCUUCUCUCUAGGAAGAACUAAACUUAUUUUUCUGGUUGAAGGUUAAUAAAGCUUUGAUUCAUCACUACUGUGAGAUCUUUCUUAUGCUUUAGUUGUUUUAUUACUCUUUGGGUAUUUGUUUAUUCUCUGAAUUAGUUUCAUGAUUAUGUUUGUUAAUUAGGUAAUUGGCCACUAUUUAAUUAUCAACUUAAUCUAUUGUCAAUUAAAGGAUUCAUCGUAUGAAGAUUUUAAUGUUUGUGACAAAUAACAUAGUAGUGAGUUGUGUUAUGAGAAUAAACAAUCUAAUUUAAAUGAAUCAUCAUAUGUGUUGAUUAGGAUUUGGGUCUCUCUUGUUUUUCAGGCUGUCAAUUGAUUAAAUCCUAUGAUCGUAUCUAGGGUUGUCUAUUGAUUAGGGAAAUAUCCAACGGUCGUACCUUGGUUAUUGACUAUUUAAGGAGAGAUUGGCAAUUAGAGGGUCUCAAUAGCUAUAACCGGUCUAUUCAUAAGUAAUAAUAAUCUAUAUUUGAAUCAAUGAUCAGUAGUCAAAUCAAGCUGAGUUAAUUUCUUCAACCAGAGCUUUCUCCAAUUUGAAUUACAACUUUAAUUUGCAUUCUUGUUAUUUUAAUUUGAUUUUUAUUAUUGUCAACAAAACCCCCAUUUUAUGUUUUACGUUUUAAAAGGAUUUAAAUAAUUACCGAUCUCUAUGGACACGACCCUGCUCAAUCACUAUACACAAUUUAUUUAGAGUAGUAAUUUAUUUUUGUUGGCUUCGACAACCAUCAAUUACUUGCCACCUGGAUCGAUUACAACAUGGAAUGGUUUGAAGAAGCAGUUCCUUGAGAAGUACUUUCCUGUUGUAAGAGCUGCCAACAUCAGAAAAGUCAUUUGUGGGAUCAGACAACUUCUUGGGGAGACUUUGUAUGAGUAUUGGGAGCGAUUCAAACAAUUGUGUGCCAGCUGUCCUCAGCAUCAGAUUUCUGAUCAACUUCUUAUUUAAUAUUUUUACGAAGGACUGUCAUUGAUGGACAGGAGUAUGAUAGAUGCUGCUAGUGGAGGUGUGUUGGUGAACAAGACCCCUACUCAAGCAAGGGAGUUGAUUGCAAAUAUGGCUGCCAAUGCACAACAAUGUGGCAGCAGGUAAGAUCUCACUUCAAGGAAGGUGAAUUAGGUAAAUAUUUCUUCUGUUGAACAACGUUUAGAUAAACUUACUUCUCUUGUGGAAAAGUUUGUUGUAGGUAAUGUGCAACAGGUGAAGACUUGUGGCAUUUGUUACAAUAUGGGUCAUUCAACCGAUAUGUGUCCUACAUUUCAAGAAGAACCCGUUGAACAAACCAAUGCAGUUAGAGGAUUUCCAGGCAUGCCUUAGAGGAGGUAUGAUCCUUAUACACAAACAUACAAUCCGGGAUGGAAGGAUCAUCCCAACUUCAGCUAUGGAGUUAGACCAUCAUGAUUCCCGCAACAGUAUCCACCAAGACAACCAGCACCUCCACAGUCAAACUCCAAGUCAGGUAUAUCUCUUGAAGAAAUUGUUAAAUCACUUGUGACUAACACUCAACAAUUUCAACAGGCAACUACAGCAAGCAUUCAGAAUUUGGAGAACCAAAUGAGUCAAUUGGCGACUACAGUGAGCCGUCUGGAGUCUCAAGUAUUAGGGAGAUUGCCUUCACAAUCUGAGGUGAAUCCAAAGUAAAACGUUAGUGCUGUCAUCCUUAGAAGAGGGAAGGAGUUGCAAGAUCCCAGUAAGAAAGUGACAAAGCAUGUAGAAGAUGAGUUUGAGAAGAAUGAAUUGAUGCCUAAAUCUCAAGAUGCGCAACCCACCAAAGCGAAACCCCUACCUAUUGUGAUACCUCCUCCUUUCCUAAGCCGGUUUGCAAAAUCCAAGAAGGAGGAACAAGAGAAAGACAUCCUUGAGACAUUUCGCAAGGUUAAGGUAAAUAUUCCUUUAUUAGAUGCUAUAAAACAAAUACCUCGAUAUGCUAAAAUCCUUAAGGAACUAUGCACCUCCAAGAGAAAAGUAAGAGGAGAUGAAAAAGUUCACAUGGGGGAGAAUGUUUCAGCAAUUCUCCAAAAGAAACUACCUCCUAAGUGCAAGGAUCCAGGUAUGUUUACUAUCCCUUGUAAAAUUGGUAGUGUUAGAGUUGAAAAUGCUAUGUUAGAUCUAUGAGCUUUUAUUAAUGUCAUGCCUCGUUCCAUUUAUUCAUCUUUGAAUGUUGGGCCAUUAAAAGAAACUGGCGUGAUAAUUCAACUAGCUGAUAGGUCUAAUGUAUAUCCUGAUGGGGUAUUAGAAGAUGUUUUAGUACAAGUUAAUGAGUUGGUUUUUCCUGCUGAUUUUUAUGUACUUGAUAUGGAAGAGGAUAACUCCUCUAAUUCUGUCCCAAUUUUGCUAGGAAGACCUUUUCUUAAGACUGCUAGGACUAAAAUGGAUGUACAUAAAGGGACUCUCACUAUGGAGUUUGAUGGAGAGGUUAUAGAAUUCAAUAUGAAUGAUGCCAUGAAAUAUCCUAGUGAAGAACAUUCGGUAUUUUCUGUGGAUGUUAUUAACCCUAUAGUGCAGGAAGUUUUUUACAAGAAAAAGACGAAGAUAUUUCAUGAUAGAAUGAUUUUGAGAAAGGAGUUCUUUGUUGGUCAAAAAGUUCUUCUUUUUCAUUCUGAGCUUAAACUUUUUCCGGGUAAAUUACGUCCUUGCUGGGUUGGACCUUUUAUUGUUACUAAUGUUUUUCCUCAUGGUGCAGUUGAGAUUCAGAGUUCGACCUCUGACAAAGUUUUUAAGGUUAAUGGUCAUCACUUAAAACCUUUUUAUGAAGGUUUUUCGGUGAAUAUUGUGGAGAAUGUGGCUCUCGAGAGUCUCAAUUAUGGAGAUUGAUGCAUAAACGUGUCUAGCCAAAGACAUAAAACAAAGGCGCUUUUUGGGAGGCAACCCAAAUGAUUUAUUUAUUUUGGUUUUUGUUAUAUCUUCUUUUAGUUUUGAUUCAGAUUAUUUUUUGAAAAAAAAUAAUGUGUUUGCUUAUUUUGGUCAGAAGAAAAUUUUUGAUAAGGCGUGCUCACGUCUUAACUAAUAAGUACUUCUGUGAUUUUUAAAGUAAAAUGGUUUUAAGGCGUGCCCACGUGCUUAUUAGAAAAGUACUUCUGAAUUUUUUUUUAGUGUCUCAAAGUGAUUCAUCACUAAAAAAAAAUGAAAAAAAAAAUUAUUUAUUUAUUUAUUGAUUUGAAAAUUAAAAAAAAAAGAAAAAAAGAGUUUUUUUCUUCUUUUUCUUCUUUUCUUUCUUAUAUAUAUUUAUUUAUUUUAAAAAAUAAAAAAUCACUAUUCACAAAUCCCUAAUUCAAAAAUUACUGUUGAUUAUCGUUUUCCAGCAGCGCGCCUCGGCUCCAGCCUUCACUGAGCAACCAGCAGCAGCAGACGAGCACGCUCAGCCCCAGCCGCAGCGCGCAGCAUCAGCCCUAGCCGCAGCACACAGCAUCAGUCCCAACCGUAGCGCGCAACGUAACGCAACCAGCGUCACCAGCGCAGUAGAACCAACCCCAACCCGUGCAUCAAGCUACAGCCGAGCAGCAAUCGUCCGCAACCCGCCUACGCACUGUAUUCCAACCGGGUAAAUCGAAAUCCGUGAGUGCAAUUAUUAUAACAAUGCCGAAGAGGAAAGCAUCAACUUCCAAGUCAUCUAAAAAGACACCCGUCGCAAAGAAGUCCAAGAUUGCCGCUCCCACUACGGUUCCAUGGAACACAGUUUCAGAUUCACGCCAAGCCGUGAGACAAAGAACGAAACAUGGAAAGGGCAUGAGUGUUUUACUACUUGCGGAAUCCAAUCUUGGAGGGGGCCUCGCAUUCACGACUCAACAAGAGAAAGAAAGGUACAAAGAUAUUUCCAAGCAAAAAAUACUUCCAGCUAAGUAUAUUCAUUACCCGACUCUUGAAAAAUUGAAUGUUAAGGAUAAUUUUGAUUCUUUGAUAGAUAAGAUUGGUUUGCGUAAGUUUGUUGAUGUUGAUUGUUUGAGUUAUGUUGAGUUGAUUAGGGAGUUUUAUGCUACUUUUCAAUUUAAUAUACCGUAUGAUUUUACUUUGCAUACCCCGGAUAUUAUAAAGUUUAGGUUAAUGGGAUGGAGUUUUUCACACUCGAUCAUAGAUUUUAACCUAGCUUUAGGAUUCAUUGAUGAUGAUUAUUCUUCUAGUGAUGCAUAUUUAGGAACAACUUGUGACUUUAGCGAAAAUUUUGAGCCUUAUGGUCUUUGGCGUAAUUUAUCUGUUGAUCACAAUGCCUAUAACCCAAGUAAAUCAAUGAGUUCUUUCUUACGUGACCCUGUUUUGAAAUGUGUGCAUCGAUUCUUAGCAUAUAAUUUUUUAGGAAAGAAAGAUCACUCAGGAGUUUUCUCUAAAACUGAAUUUUAUUUUAUCUGGUUUAUGUUAAAUGAUGUGAGGCCUAAUUUAGGUUUUUGGUUAGUAGAUCAAUUUCAAAGUGUGCUUAAACGGUAUAGGACUUUAUUUCUUGGUCCAUACAUUACUCGGUUAGCUAUAAACUUAUGUGUGCUUGAUCCUAACAAUAAUGAUUUGCAUCCUGCUUGCAAAAAGGAAUUUUUGGAUAUAUCUGUGUUUGAAAGAACAGGUGUAGUCGAAUUCAAGGAGGGGAGAUUUCAGUUUACUGAACCAGGACCCACUCAACUUCCAAAAAAGCUUUAUGCUAGGAGUGGUGCUACCUCUGAUGACGAGUUUGACGACAAAACUGCUGCCUCACCAACUAUUCCUUCUACAUCCGCACCACCUUUGAGCAUUCAGUUAGAGAAAAUGGAGCACAAGCUGGACAAGAUGGAGCAGAAUUUGGCCGCAUACUUCGAGAGUGUGAGAUUUAUCCCACCAUUUCCGCUAAGCCCAUAGACGUUAUGAGGAUCAAAGCUCACAAUUCAGGGAAGUUUUUGCCUUUAAUCUUUUAUCCUUACACUUUAAUUUUUAUGUGAGCUUUGAUUAUCUUACAUUGGGGACAAUGUAAGUUCUUGGUGUGGGGGAGGGAUUUUUGCAUUAUUGAUGUCUGGAAGUAUUAUUUUCACUCUACUCAUCUAUUUUCACUCUACUCAUCCUUAAAUGAUUUUAGAGUUAGUAUGCUGCAUAUAUUAUUAUUUUUCUUUUCUUUUCCUUCUCACUACUUUUUUCCCAUCUAUCUCAAAUUAUUCAUAUCUAUUUUUAUUUUACCAUAUUCUUUCAUCACUCACAUUUUAUCUUUCAUUUUUUUUCUACAUACAUCUUUCUCGCUUAUUAUCCUUUUUACCUUUCCUUUUAUAUAUCACUCAUACCUUCUUCUCAUUCUACACCACUAUUGAUGGUUGAUUCAUUUGAAGAGUAUACAUGAUUUAAUGGCAAAUUUACCAACUUUGUGAGGAUUUGAGCCUAUGAGCAACCACUUUGCUCUAUUUAUUUUUGUUAUGUGAAUAUCAAUCUUAGUUUGUUUAUUCUAGAACUUGCUUUGUUGUGCAUGUUGAAGCCGCAUUACGGGAUUUUAUGCAUUAAAAUGAUAAGGGCAAACCGCUUUCCAUUUUUCUAUUCUCACAUUUUUCUUCUUUUUCUCCACCCGAAAACCUUUAUUUGUUAUCUUUGUUUGAGCCUUAAACAUUACCCAUCUAAUUCUCUCCGUCUACUUAACCAUUUUUCUUCUUUUUGAGCCUCAAUUUAAGGAGAUUUUUGGACUCAUUGGGUGGAUAUAUUUUGUUGCUUUUUCUACCUUGUAUUAAAGUUUCUCAAAUAGAUCAACAAGCAUUAUGCUUGAAUUAAAUUGUGCAAGGUUCGUUUUUGUUGUUUGAUUAAAAAAAAAGGAAAAAAACAAAAAAAAAAAAGAAAAAAAUGUUUACAUUCUUGGUGACUUGAGUAGAAAUAACCGUUUCGAUAUCAUAAGAUUCAUUCAAUGAGUUCAUUCUUCUCAUUUUGAUCUCUUUUUCUUUCAUAGACCUUUCUUUUUCAUUUAACCCAUUUAACCCCGUUACAACCUUUUUAAGACCAUUAGAUUUUUGCAUUUAAUUCAUGUUUUGUGGAUUGAGAUGUGAUAUAUAAGCAAGCUUAUGGUAAUAGCAUUCUUUGAUUUGAUUUGAGUGCAUAAAUGACGCCCUAAACACUUUGAGUGAAUGGAGUGAAGUCAAUGAGAGGGCUAUUAAAUCUUGUUGCACUUGAAUUUUGAAUGGAUCUUCUUGGCAGUUGAAUGUUUUUAUUCUAGCUUAUGAGAUUCUAUGCUUUAAAAUCCUUGUCUCUUGAAUGUUGAUCGACUUAAAUUCUUGAGGUAUGCUUGCUUAAAAUUGUUUUUGGAUGAGUUGAGAUGAGAAUUGAGUGGAGAUUUGGGAUUAGUCUUGAGUUAUAUGCUUGAGGACAAGCAUCAUUUUGGUGUGGGGGAAUUUGUUAGAGUGCAAUUUAUGCACUAGUUUUGAAUUGUUUACUUCCCUUAAUAUCGAUGUUUUGCACUUAAUAAUAGUGAUUUACUUGUAUUUUAUUUUUAUAGGUGCAAUUCUAUUGAUUGGUGCAAAAAUUGAGCUACAAGAUGAUGUUUAAGGAUGAUUAUUCUCUUGGAGAAAUUAUGAGCGUCAGAAGAACUUUGUUGAUAACGCGUGGGCGCGUGCUUUCAUCUACGGACCUGUAGUUUUUAAUUUAAUGUGUUUUGUAUUUUUGGUUAUUUUUAUAAUUACGAAUUUAAUAUUUCAGAUAUUAGUAUUUUAUUUUAAAUAGAACUCUAGAGGAGAAGAGAGAUAGAGUAUUUAAGGGAGGAAUCUAUUGUGAAAAAAAGGAGAUUUUUGGAAAAGAAAGAAACCCUAGAUCUAAUUUUUUCUCUUCUCUCUAUGAAGAACUAAACCUAUUAUUCUGGUUGAAGGUUAAUGAAGCUUUGAUUCAUCACUACUGUGAGAUCUUUCUUAUGCUUUAAUUGUUUUAUUGCUUUUUGGGUAUUUGUUUAUUCUCUGAAUUAUUUUCAUGAUUAUGUUUGUUAAUUAGAUAAUUGGCCACUAUUUAAUUAUCAACUUAAUCUAUUGUCAAUUAAAGGAUUCAUCGUAUGAAGAUUUUAAUGUUUGUGACAAAUAACAUAGCAGAGAGUUGUGUUGUGAGAAUAAACAAUCUAAUUUAAAUGAACCAUCGUAUGUGUUUGUUGAUUAGGAUUUGGGUCUCUCUGGUUUUUCAAGCUGUCAAUUGAUUAAAUCCUAUGAUCGUAUCUAGGGUUGUCUAUUGAUUAGGGAAAUAACCAAUGGUCAUACCUUGGUUAUCGACUAGUUAAGGAGAGAUUGGCUAUUAGAGGAUCUCAGUAGCUAUAACCGGUCUAUUCAUAAGUAGUAAUAAUUUAUAUUUGAAUCAAUGAUCAGUAGUCGAAUCAAGUUGAGUUAAUUCCUUCAACCAGAGCUUUCUCCAAUUUGAAUUACAACUUUAAUUUGCAUUCUUGUUAUUUUAAUUUGAUUUUUAUUAUUUUCAACAAAACCCCCAUUUUAUAUUUUACGUUUUAAAAGGAUUUAAAUAAUUACCGAUCUCUGUGGGCACGACCCUGCUCAAUCACUAUACACAAUUUAUUUAGAGUAGGUAUUUAUUUUUGUCGGCUUCGACAACCAUCAUUUUGUUUCUUUAUGUAAUUUUUAGACUGCUCUGACAACUCAUCUUAAAGGUGCCACUCAUCCAAUAUGAUAUGGUGACAGUAGUUUAGAGUUUUAAACUAAAUGCAGAGCUAAUAGUAUUUUGGAAAUAUAAUCAUCCUAAGAUACUAACAAAAACAACAACUUCGGUGUAGAGAGAAAAUGAUUUCACAAAAGCAGAUGUUUUGAUUUAAGUCUCCAAAACCCCCACCAAAGAAAUGUUCAACGGAUAUAGAAAUAUGAUCCACAUAUCUGUAACUUAAACUGUGAAAUUUGUUGAUGCUGUUCUAAAAUUGCCACAAUCUAUCUACCCCAUGAAUGUUAUUGGAUAAAACAACAAGCAGGACCCAAUGCCUGUUUUCUAAUAGCUUCAAAAAGGCCAAAUUGGUUUUGAAAUGUCUCCAGCUUUUCAUUUAACAAGUUUAAGGAUCCCUUCGGCAUUGCAAUUGGGGAGCUCAGAUAUAUAAAAGUCUGGUAAACUCUUACAGCCGCAGCUUUUGAGCAAAAAUAAUUUUAUCUCAUAAUAUUUUGACAAAAAACUUAUAUCACCUUUUAUCAGUUUUGUAAAAAAUAUUAUUUAUAAGUCAUAUUUACCAAACACAAUCAACUUUUACAUCACAAUUAUAGCUUCUUUUUUUUCACCACACAUAUACAGUUAAAAUCUACAAGAACUCGAUAUCAAAUAGAUCCUAAAGCUUAAUCUAAUAAAAAGGUAAAUAAACAAAUGCAGAAGCCAGCGUACUUGAUCAAGACGCUCUGAAUAGUCACUGGGAAAGGGAAUAUCGACGUUAAUGGGGUUAUUGCCAUCGCUUGAAACCGAAUUGGUGAGACAAUUGCGUUUUCUUCUGUACGGAGAAAAUGUGACGAUUCUUUGACCACUGAAAAUUUCGAUUCUACAAUUUACCUGCAAUUAGUGACAAUUAUUCCGUUUAGAAACAAUUUUAAAAAAAAUAAAAAGUAAUAAUUACAAACUCAGAGUAUACCUGUGGACGUGGAAUUGAAGAAACUGGAAUAGGAAGCGUAGGGAGGGCAAUGGCUGUAUUGGAGGAUAACGGCAUUUUGAACCUCAAAGUAAAGAGAGAGAGAGAGAAGAAACGCUUCCCUUUCAAAUACCGCGCUCUUUUGUACCUGGGAAUUUAACUAAUUCAUGCGAAUAAAAAAAUUUAUAAAUUUGGUAAAUUAUUUAUUAAAAAAUAUUGAGAGGUUGUGCAUUAUUUUAUUAGUAAUGACAUGGUAAUAAUCAAAUUAGUUAAAUUAAAAUAGUUGUUGACUCAGUAAUUUAUUUUUAUUAUUUUUAUAUAUUUAUUUAAUUAAUUAAUUAAUGUUAUAUCUAUUUAUAUAAAAAUGUACAGUUCUAUCCUCACUCUUAUUUUAUUUUUAUUAUUUUAAAAAAAAUGGUCUGCGUUAUUAAGGUUAAGGGUGACAACUGGGAUUAAUAUACGGUUUAUUCGAGUGCUUAAAACCUAAUAAAUAUCCACUAACUCAUAUAUAGUAAAAAUAUAAUUAUUUUAAAAAAAAUUAAUAUAAACUAAACAAAUUGAUUGGAUUUUGUUUCUCAAGGUACAUCAUUAGAACGUUACUUUUAACUGAACAAAAGCACACAUAACUAGCACAUUCGCCACAAAAGCCUCGGCUUAGUGGUCGGCUUAUUAAUUAUCCUAAUUAAAUCAUGGUCAUAAAUUUGAGUCCCGGCAGGAAUUAUUAGGCUAGGUAGCUUUUAUAGACUACACUAUAAAUACAUGUAUUUUAAUUCUCGCGGGUAUUGCUUCUAGUAGUUAUCCAUCCGAGUAUAGUGCUUUGUAGCUUUCUUCACGACCUUCCCCAAUUUCAAUGAUUGUUAAUCAAUCUUCAUAGAAAAUGUGAUAAGACUGUAUUUAGAGAAAAGCUCAAUAAAUGAUUUUUAUAGGUCAUCAUUUCAUUUAAUUUUCCGUUAUAUAUAUAUAUUCACCUUUCUCAGAGGCCAAGAAGUCUUCGACAGAAAUGUGAUCCUUGAGCUUCUCCCAAGUUUCAAUUAAUUCGCUUUGAGUGAGGAUAUUUUCUGGUGGCCUCAAAUACAAUGUUUUGUUCAGUACUCGAGGAGCAUUUAUUGUCUUAAUAGUAUUUAUGGCAACAUCAUCGAUAUGCACAGUAAAAAAAAAGAUAAUCAUUUUGUUUAAUAUGAACAUAAAUUGUCAAAUUCUGAAUCAUAUUAUAGUGAACGAUAUUGUCGUAUGGUGUGUGUAUGUACUAUCUAUAGUUUUAAUAUUAUUAAUAAGGAGUUAAAAGUCUUGAUUUAAUUUUAAAUUGUUAUUCCUCUAACUUCACCGUCUCCAUAGAUGCAGACUCUAUCUUUUGAAGGGCGGGGGUAGCUAUAUUUGAGAGAGGUGUCUGGGGAACCAACCAGCAAAAAAUAGCUAGCAGAAACAUAAAUGACAAGGAUUUGAGCAGCCUUGAUUGCCCUUCUCACACAUGCGCUCUGUGUUCUCCCUCCAGCUCUCACUCACUCACGCCCAAAUCUCACCUCACUCACGUAUCUCUCCUUUCUGACCGGUGGUUUUCUCUCUCUCGCCGUGGGUCUCUAGGCUGGCGGGGAUUUCUCGACUUGACUACUAAAACAUAAUCCAAAAACUAUCUCGACUUGACUACUAAAACAUAAUCCAAAAACUACUAAGAUAUAUAUAUAUUACUAUGAUAUACACAAUAUGAAGAAACUGCAGUUAUAUUUCAAAUAUUUUAUGAAGGAAGAGGCUGUAUGGAUUAUCCAAAGGUGCUGAAAUUAAGAGACCCACGCCAACCGACAGAGUGAGUGAAUAUAAGGGGGUUAUUGGGUAAAAAUCACAUAACGCGCAAGCGAAAUUUUAGAUUAUAUUUUUUAAUACUCUCCGAGUCUCUCUUUCUCUUUCUUUUUUGGUUUGAACCACGAGGUGGUCCUGAGUGGGUCCCAACUAUGGAAAGCACUUUUAAGCCCGUACCACAACUUAGACUAAUCCCCACUCGCACCGGGUCGGCCCGUAAGGGGUAAAGUGCUGGGCAAAGUGGUGACUCCAUACGAGAGCGGGACUUGAACCCCUGACCUCUCUUAAGGAGUGAGAGUGCCGAACCACUCACACCAACCAACUUUGGUUAACUCUCUUUCUCUUUUUCUUUUUUUAAAUAAAUGUCAGUAUAAAAUUAGAAAAUUUUAGAUAUAAAAUUUGGCGAUGACCAAACAAAAAUUGCAGGGGAAACCUUGAUAUCAUUGAAAUACUAAUCAUAGACACUGCAGUAUAAAUAACUUCUUGUGAUCUACUCAACUUUAACACUUUAAUCCAUAUUCUAAAAUUUGCAUGUUUGUUAGGAUUUUUAUUAUUGAUACUGUUGUAUCAAUAAAAUUAUAAUUUAUUCAUAUGGAAUGAAAACAUCAAGAAAGGACCUCUGAAGUUUAUUAUAACAGAAAAAAAUGGUCCAUAAGUCUAUUUAUUAUUUUAUUUAUUCAAUACAAAUGGCCAACUUUAAAAAUGGUAAAAGUCACACAAUGCACAAGUAAAAUUUUAGAAUUAAAUUUUUUAAUUCUCUUUGAGUCUCUCUCUCUUUAAAAAAUAAACCUCACUGUAAAAUUAGAAAAAUUUUAGACGUAAAAUUUGACAAUCACCAAAUAGAAAACAUAGGCAAAUGAAAAUGGAGGAGCCCUAUUUUCAUUAGAAUAUUGAUCAUAGAUACUAUAAUGUAAAUCAUUUGUUGUGGUUCAUUCAACCUGUCACACUCUAAGCCAUUUUCUAAAAUUUGUAAGGUUUAUAGGAUUUUUAUUAUUGCCAUCAUUGUAUCAAUAAUAUUAUAAAUUAUAUAUUCUAUUGUAAUGAAAAUUUGUGCAAUCUUAGGUAUGUAUUAUAUUAAAUUGUGUGGAUUAAUUAAGAAUAUUUUUGGAGACAAAAGAAGUGUGUGUAUGUAAGAAUAAUGAUAAAAAAUUUCUAAAUAAAGGUGAUUGCUUCAUUGACAAGUACAUAUUUAUAUUCCUCUAUUAGUAUUUGGGUUGUAAACUCUGUUUAUAAAGUGAAUAUAUUGUGGUAAGCGAUGUGGGAAAUAUCGGAUGCGAAAUAUUGAGAGAUCAUUAACGCAUAUAUUUAUUGAAGAUGCAUAUAGAGGAAAGAGUGUAGAUCCGGCCGUAACACUUAUGAAGCUUUCCCUAAGUAUUCUCAUGCUUGCUUAACUAUUCCGAAGUAUUUUUCAUAGUGUGCAUAUUUACUUUAUGGUGUCUUUAUUCGUCUCAAAUGAUUACUACAGUUCUUUUGGGAUGAAAGGUCAUUUAUUUUGUUAAUUUUAAACAAUAGAAAAAAUAAAUAAUGGUAACGAAAGACUAAUUGUGAUAUUGAAGCGUACGGACUUUAACUCAAUCCAAAAAUUAGUAGGACCCACAUAUAUUUGAUGACGCUGAAAGUUACAUCAAUUGUAACUUAGAAACAUCCAAAUAUUAGACAAUAAUACACAAUAACAAUGCAUAUAAUUUGGGUUUGAUUUUUAAAAAAUUAUUUGAAUAUCACUUAUCCUUAAGAUAUUAAUUUGAAUAUAUUUUAAUAGUAAAUAAUAAAAAUUUGUUUAGUUAUUAUUUGUAUUUCAUACAUUGCAUGUUAGAUUUGUUUGAAUUUUAAGUUGUUGCGAAUAAAUAUUUAUGUUGUGAAAGUCGAAUUCAAUAGCUACAAAAGCAGAGAUAAUUGUAUUUUAUAUAGUUUUUAAGAAUACAAGGAUAAGAUCAUAACGCAUGAGAUAACGGUAUUUUAUAUUAAAAGACCAUAAUGCAUGUAUUUGAGCCAUUUAUAUUGAAGACACAUAUAGAGGAAUGAGUGCAGAUCCGACCAUAACUAUUGUGAAGCUUUCCUCAAGUAUUCUCAUGCACCCAAACCUUAUCUGGUCAAGGUUUCUGAUUGAAUAUAAUCAAUUUCCGUGCAGUACCGAAGACAGCUUCUGUUGGUAGUUGAAUUUGUGGGGAAUGACAAAUGUAGAGAAAUACAACAAUAAUGGUGGAACUUUAUUACGUAAAGUAAUGUGUUUACAACUAACUCUGUAUGUAGUAAGAAAAAUAAUAGUAAUAAGUAAACUUGCAAAAAUUUUGUGUGCUUGAAGGCACGUUACAAAUGUCGCUUUCCUUAAGACGUUAUUUGCCCCCACCAAUUGAGUGAUGCACAUGGGUUAAGCAAAUACGCAUCCAGGAUACAAUGAAGCACUUGUUUGUUUGCUAGUGUUGUGCAUCAACGAAAGCAAACCAGAAUACUCUUGAAUGUUGCAAGCCUGCCAAGAAACAAUAAAUUGUUCCUGCAGAAAACAAUAUAUUGGAUUGUGAAUGCACAAAAGAAAUGGGUGUUUUGUGUUGAAAUUCGUACUAGAAAGGAAUGCUAAGAAAAGAGUGGUGUAGGAUCAUUGAUUUCAUGUCUAAAUGGCUUAAACAUGACCCCUAUUUAUGGAUAUACUUGUGCCCCCUCAUUUGGGUUGUCAUCUUCAUGAUACCCCUUCAUUCAUGGCCAUUGGAUCUAUAUUUAAUUUUAAUCAAUGGUCCAAAUUGAACCAUCACCAUUUCAAAUGAAAUGUCACCAUGAAAUGAUGCAUCUCUAAGUGAAAUGUUACCAUGAAAAGUUAUAUCAUUUAGUAAAAAGAUACAUUUUCUAUAAGACAUAAUUAAAUAGACAUGUCCUUACAACAAGACAUCAUUUAAUUAGACAUGUCUUUAGUGAAAUGUACUUUUUCUAUAAGGCAGAAUUAAUAAGACAUGUCUUCACCAUAAGACACAAUUUAUUUUGAAAAUUUUCCAACAGCUUAUCUGUAAAGCUCUUCAACCACAAGCAUUUCUACAAGGCAAAAGACUAGGACGUGUUGGAAUGAAUAUCAAUAAGGGAAUGUCUUAUGAAUUUGGUUUAUAUCCUAAUAUAAGACAAUCAAUAAAUAUUGGAUGCAAUCUAAGGGCUAACAUUUGAUUGAUCAUUGUACGAAAAAAAAAGGUACAAAAAUACAAAACAGAGCUGAUUGAUGGCCUUUAACAGUCAGUUCUAUGACAAAGUAACCACCACAACAAAUGGAAUUAUAAGACAUCAAGAAACUUGAACUUGGCAGGAGGUCUCAUUAGCAGUAUACCUCAGAAAUUAAGACAGAGACUUUAAAAUGCAAGCUUAUGGAGUAAUUUAAGCACUGAAACUAAUAACAGUGAUGCAAAAAAAGGUGCAGAAGUACGGUAUUAGCAAUUGACCUCUGCUUUUGCUUGGACAAAGGUUUUCAUCACAAGGGACUCAUUAGUUGCCCUUGCCUCACACGAUUGGAUGCUAAGGGGAAAAAGGAAGCUUCUAACGGCAUUCACAGAGAACCUAUAAAACUAAAAAAAAAAAAAAUCAUCCAUGAAAAGGCUACUAACAAAAAAACUAACUCUUUUAUCUGCCACUGACCUAAUCCGCACUCAUUUAAUUAAAAAAGAAUUAAAAGCAAAACUAAAAGAUACAAAUUGCGUACAAGUCUAGGAGCCAUAUCAAAGGCGUUAUAUAACUUUUCCAAUUAAUAAAUUCUCUUAAGGGCCAUACCGUGCUCAUCAUUUCAAAAGCAAUUAAGGAUAAGAACUUUCAUCAUUAAUUGAUAUGGCCAGUGUAGAAAAAAUGAAAAAGCCCUCCAAGAUCAAAGCACAAGGAUCAGUUUAGAAUUACACUUUUUAAAUUUUGGUUAAUAAAUAAACGUUUAUAUGAAAAUAGAAAAUCUUUUUGGAAUAACCUUUUUUUUUCUUUUUUUAAUGAAUGUGGAUAUAAAAUUUUAAAAUCGCCAAACCGAAAAGAAAAACAGGGGAAUGAAAAGAGAGCCCACGUUUCUCCUCUCUUUUGUUUUUAUUGUUAUCAAACAGGGGAAUGAAAAGAGUGCUCUGUUUCUCCCCUGUUUUGAUUUUUUUAUUACUAAACAGGGGAAUGAAGAGAUCAGCUCUUGUCGCAAGCGCAAAUUUUUGUUUCUAAAUGCAGUUGGUUGUAACUAUAUUCGCAGUCCCUAGUACUUAGAAGUAAAGGCUCUUGGAAUUUCUAUUGUAGUACAUGAGAUGUUUCCCGUUCAAAUAGCUCGCCCGAUACCAUUAGCAUGUUCAUCUCUCUAUAGAUUGAUGUUGACAUAGAUGUUAUUCUACUUUUGCUAGUGGAGUUUUGGGCCUUGUCGUAAUUGGUGGAAUUACGACAUCGGUGGCUGACAUGGCUUUCCUUGUACAGGUAUGUAUGAUUGUUUUUUUUGCACGUCUAAAUGGCACUGUUGAAAAGCUUAAAAUUGAACUGAUAAUUUUGUUUGGAAGCUCAGAAAAUUCAUGAGAAAGUGAAAUAGAAUAUUCUGGAUUUCUUUUCUUUCCAUAACAUACAAAUGACAAACGUAGCAGUAUUUAUACUCGUUGCUUACAUCAUAAAAACAGAAUUAAAGCAAGUUAUACAACUAUAACAUAAUAAAAACCGUGCUUAACUAAUUGGCUGAGCUAGCAUAUACUUCUUUAACUAACACAUGCUUAUCGUGCAGCUACUCUUUAGUUCACACGUGCUCAGUGUGCUUCCUUAACAGACACAAGGGAAAAGACAUGAUUUUGAGAUAUAACGCUUGAAUGUUCUCGGAAUGGCAUAACGCUUUGUGUGUCUCGGACCUGUUAAGAAUAACAUAUGCUGAGUCAGCUGCUGAGUCAUCAAGCCACGCUGGAAGUUAGUUUUGCAGUUAGUUAGAGAGCUUAUCAGCUUCCCUCCAAAAGUUUGUUAUGUGUAUUAGAAUCUGGGCUCACGAGUUUUGUGAGAUUGUAACCUUAAGAAGAUUCUCACACUACUAUAAAUUGUAUUGUGACUCAAUUAAUAAAAUAAGUUGAAGCUUUGCAUUUUCUCUCAGUCAAAAUUUUCUCUCUGUUUUUCUAACCAAACAAGAUCUACAGAGCAUCUUGUAUUUUAACUUGGUAUCAGAGCUUGAAUCCAAUGGCCUUAAUCGGUUCCAAUCAACAGUCAAGCAACACUUCCAUAACUUCUUUCACCUUCACAAAUCCAAUUAAGCUUGAUCGUGCAAACUAUACGAUCUGGAAACAAUAAGUACUUUCUUCAAUUCGUGGCAAUGGUCUUGAAGGCUAUAUUGAUGGAUCAAGGAUCUGUCCUAGUCAAUUUCUUUCUCCAGAGGCUAGAUCUGAAGGUUCUUCUUCUUCUAACAUCGAAGGUCAAGAGAAUCCAGAGUAUGCAGCCUGGAGACGUCAAGAUUAGCUCCUGCUCAGCUGGAUUCUGUCGUCCAUGAAUGUAGAUAUUCUCAGUCUUGUGGUAAGCUCUAAGACUUCUUUUGAGUUGUGGAAAAAUCUAGAAAAAUAAUUUGGAUCUGAAUCUAUGGCUAAGAAGGUUCAUCUAAAAAUGCUUUUGAGUAACCUGCGAAAAGGAUCUCUAACCAUGUCUGAGUAUUUUACAAAGCUUAAGUCAGUUACAGAUGGUCUUGCUUUAGUUGGUAGCCCUGUGCAUGAUUCGGAUUUAGUCACUCAUCUUAUUACUAGUCUAGAUCAGUCAUAUUAUCCUGUAGUAGUCUAUAUUGAGGCAAACAUGUUGAAAAUGGAUCUUAGUGAGGCUUAUGCUAUGCUUCUCACACAUGAAGCUAGACUUGAGAAUAAUAAGCUUCAUGAUAGUAAGGAAACCAAGAACAAUUAUGCAGCAAAUGUAGCUCAGGCUGGAAAUUUUUCAAAGAAAGGUAAUAACAAUAAUCAAAACAACUGGAAGGCUGGAGGAAACAAUUGGAAUAAUAACUCUGGUGGAAGAGGUGGUUUUGGUGGUAAUGGAAGAGGUGGUUACCAAGGGUUCAAUCCAGGAAGAGGAAACUAGAAUAAUAAUAAUUUCAGAGGUGUUGCUGGUGGAUUUAAUAGUGGAUUUCCUGGUCCCGGUGGCUUCAAUAACAAUUAUGGCAGAGGUGGUUUCAACUCAGGAGGUGCUGGAAAGAAUUUUGCUCAGGGAACUGGUGCUGCUUGUCAGAUAUGCUUCAGGUUUAAUCACACAGCAGCUGAUUGCAGAGACAGGUUCAACCGAAAUUUUAUCCCAAAUUUUCCAGCUCCAGCUCCAAAUCACUUCUGUAAUCAGCAUCAAGGACCAAGAGCAGUCUUCAUAACAACAUCUGAAGGAGCUGCUGAUCAGGGAUGGUUUCUGGAUAGUGGUGCAACUCACCACUUAACCAACACAGUUCAGAAUCUGAGUGAUGGUAAAAUCUAUUUUGGCUCAAACUUACUUACUGUUGGUAAUGGCCAAGGUCUUAGAAUUACUCACAUAGGUUAUACACAACUUCACACUUCUUUUGGCACCUGUUUACAACUACAUAAUAUUUUGUGUGUCCCUCAAAUUACCAAGAACCUCAUUAGUAUUUCCAAACUCCUCACUGAUAAUGAUAUAACCAUUGAAUUUUUCUCUGAUGUUUGCUUUCUAAAGGACAAGGUGAAGGGCACUCUGUUGGCUCAGGGGAUAGCCUAUACAAGCUACUAUCAAAAGAGGAAUCUCUCUCUUCUUCCACUUCUGUUCUGCCAGUGUCUCAUCCUAGUUCUAUGAUGUCAACUCUUUCCUGCAAUAAUGUAGUUACUUCUGUUCAAAGUUCAAAUAAUGACUUCUGUUUUAAGUCUACAUUUCCUGUAAGCUUUCAAACUUCAAGUUAUGUGUCAGCAAAUAUGUUGCACAAUAGACUUGGUCAUCCAAGUAAACAUGUCAUACAAACUAUUCUCAGAAACAAUUGUUUAAUGUCAGCCAAUGUUAGUAAAUCAAAUUUUCUUUUCUGUGAUGCCUGUCAAUUGGGAAAGUUACAUCAAUUACACUUUCCUGCUACUGAAAUCAAAACAAAAAACCCCUUAGAAUUAAUACACACAGACUUAUGAGGACCAGCACCAGUUUUAUCACUAGAUGGCUAUAGAUACUAUAUUUCCUUUGUUGAUGACUUCACCCGAUAUUGUUGGAUCUUUCCUUUAGUUUUAAAAUCUGAUGCUCUUACUACUUUCAAAAACUUCAAGAGCUUAGUUGAGAAACAAUUCAGUCUGCCUAUCAAAAUUCUGCGGUCUGAUAUGGGAGGUGAAUUCAAAGCUUUUCAGUCCUUUCUUCAACAAGAAGGUAUCCAAGCUAGAUUUAGUUGUCCCUAUACUCACCAUCAAAAUGGUGUUGUUGAGAGAAAAUAUAGACACUUAGUAGAAACUGGAUUAACACUCCUUACUCAAGUAAAAAUGCCUAUUUCUUUCUCGUGGGAGGCUUUCCAUACAGCCUCCUAUCUCAUUAAUAGAAUGCCUACCACUACACUGAACAACUUAUCUCCCUAUCAAAAGCUUCAUAAUCAGCCACCAAACUAUCAACUUCUCAGAGUUUUUGGUUGUGCUUCCUAUCCUUUUCUCAAGCCUUAUAAUGAUCACAAGCUUGAUUUUCAUUCCCAAAAAUGCUUGUUCUUAGGUUACAGCCCUCUUCAGAAAGGAUAUAGGUGUCUAACAAAGUCAGGUAAAGUAUAUGUUGCUACUCAUAUUGUUUUUAAUGAAUCUGAUUUUCCCUAUUCAGAGUUGUUCUCUUCAUCUGAGUCUUCUUCCAAUUCUCUAUCAUCAUACUCUCCAUCUAUUUGUAUCCUUAAUGACAGUGGCUUGCAUCAAUCAUCAGCUACAUCUCCUACUUCAGCAAAGUUACCAACUAUACAUUCACCUCAACAUCCUCACCAAGCCCCACACUCUCCUUGUCCCUCUCCAGUCUCAGAUUCCUACAGCUAAUCAUCACCACAUUCUUCAUCACAUAAUGCUUUAGCCAAUCCCUCUGAUGAAUUACAACCAUCAUCUCAACCUGUCAUUUCAACUCAUCAGAUGGUCACUCGAGCCAAAUCUGGUAUUUUUAAACCAAAGACCUACCUUACAGCUACCCAAGACCUUGAACCAGUGAGUGUUAAAGCAACCCUAAUUGAUACAAAGUGGAAAAUGGCUAUGCAAGAAGAGUAUAAUGCCUUGCAGAAGAAUGGCACCUGGACAUUAGUUCCAGCUGAAACAGCUACAAAACUUGUUGGCAAUAAGUGGGUUUUUCGAGUUAAAUAUAACCCAGAUGGCAGCAUUUCCAAGUAUAAGGCUCGGUUGGAUGCAAAAGGUUUUCAUCAAACCUAUGGAGUAGAUUUCUUUGAAACUUUUAGUCCAGUUGUUAAACCCUGCACUGUUCGUAUUGUUCUCAGCUUAGCAGUCAUGCAUUGUUGGCCAGUUCGGCAAUUAGAUGUUAACAAUGCCUUUCUUAAUGGCAUGCUUACUGAAGAUGUGUUUAUGCCUCAGCUAGAAGGCUUUAUCAGCUCUCAGUUUCUCAAUCAUGUCUGCAAAUUACAAAAAGCCCUUUAUGGUCUUAAACAGGCUCCAAGGGCUUGGUAUGAUAGAUUGAAAGGGUCUUUAGUUCAGUGGGGUUUCAAAUCUUCAAAGUCAGAUACUUCACUGUUUUUCAAGCAUAUUGGCAAUAAUGUUCUCAUCAUCCUUGUUUAUGUAGAUGAUAUCCUGAUAACAGGCUCUAGUGAUGUUUAUAUUUAAGAGGUUAUCAGUCUACUUAGCUCAGAAUUUGCACUUAAAGAUUUAGGAGAUUUUAACUACUUUCUUGGGGUAGAAGUGACUCCAUCUGCUGAAGGAUUACAUCUAUCUCAAACUAAGUAUGUUGGUGACAUCUUAAGAAAAGCUCAUAUGCUUGAGAGUAAAGGUUGUAAUACACCUAUCAGUGUUGCUGAUAAAUUGCAGAAGGACAAAGGCUGCUCAUUUACAAAUCCCUCACUUUACAGAAGCAUCAUUGGUUCUCUGCAGUAUCUGACACUGACCAGACCAGAUAUUGCAUUCACUGUAAACAAAUUGAGUCAGUUUUUAGCUGCUCCAACUAUCUUGCAUUGGCAGGCUUGCAAGAGGGUAUUACGAUAUCUACAAAGCACAUCACAUUUUAGACUGCAAUUCUUCAAGUCAGGUUCUCCAAGUCUCAUAGCAUAUUCUGAUGCAGAUUGGGGGUCUGAUCCAGAUGAUAGAAGAUCUGUUGGAGGGUAUUGUGUUUAUCUUGGAUCCAAUCUUGUGUCUUGGUCAUGUAAGAAACAGAACAUUGUUUCCAGGUCAUCUGUUGAAUCUGAGUAUAGAGCAUGGCCUUAGCUACAUCUGAGGUUUUGUGGAUUACAUAUCUAUUAAAAAAGCUCAAAGUAUCACUUCCCAAACCUCUUGUUCUUUACUGUGACAACAGCAGUGCAGAAGCUUUGGCUAGCAAUCCUAAGUAUCAUUCCAGAACUAAACAUAUAGAACUGGAUUUACAUUUUUUCAGAGAACACAUUGCCAACAAGGAUCUCUUCAUUGAACAUGUGUCUAGUUCUGAUAAGCUAGCUGAUGUGCUUACCAAACCUCUGAGUUUUGAUCAUUUUGCCUAUAUGCAAACUAAGGUCAAUGUCUGCCCAUGACCUUGAGCUUACGGGGGCAUUUUAAGAAUAACAUAUGCUGAGUCAUCAAGCCAUGCUGGAAGUCAGUUUUGCAGUUAGUUAGAGAGCUUAUCAGCUUCCCUCCAAAAGUUUGUUAUGUGUAUUAGAAUCUGGGCUCACGAGUUUUGUGAGAUUGUAACCUUGAGAAGAUUCUCACACUACUAUAAAUUGUAUUGUGACUCAAUUAAUAAAAUAAGUUGAAGCUUUGCAUUUUCUCUCAGUCAAAAUUUUCUCUCUAUUUUUCUAAGUAACCAAACAAGAUCUACAGAGCAUUUUGUAUUUUAACUGGAGCGGCUGAUUGGUGCUGUACGUGUUACAUUUUUACUUUUUUAACUCAAGUCUGCUGUUGUCCCAAAGUUGGAACUAGAGAUAUCAUUUCACCUCAACUGUGUUUUUUUUUUAAUUAAAAAAAUCAUUUGUUUUAGGUAUACAUACAUGUAUUUUAAUUCUAUUUUCCUUGUAAUUUCUCCUUUACUUUGAAUGAAAGUCAUUGGUGUUUUCGAAUGGGAAUUUUGCAUUAAAAAAUUAAGAAUAGUUAAUAGGAAAUUUCCUGAUUCUUUAGUUACUAUUUUUGGUAUGAGUGUAAUUAGUAGUAAAGUUGGUUUCUACUCGCAAACAAGUGAACUGCUCGAUUCCCAAGUGCUAUUAACCAGUUUCCAACUUUUUAAUAUACACUAAUUGUUCCUGUUUAAUAGCUACUACUAUUAAAACUCAACAGCUAACAAAAAUACUAAAAAAAAUGAUUUUUUCUUAUGAUGCUGUGAAAAAAAUUACGGGUUUACUUAUUUCCACGAGAUCUUGUAUAGUGUUCUUGUAUAGUGGAAUUAAGAUUGUCUUCCCGAUGGUGCAAUUCACCCUCUUCCUUUACAGUCACUUGCACUUUGUGCAGCUUUGGUGUGGAUAAGAUUCCCAGGGAAAAAGUCUUCAUGUUCGGACAAUGUGUCACAAAUACUCGUUCCAAUGAUGGGAAUUCAAGAGGGUAAUUCUCCAAACAAAAGCUGGUAAGCCUUGGUAAAUACGACUCUCCUUCACUUCUUCUCCAGCAUGUCCUACGAUUUCUUCUAAUUUUUUGCAGUUCCAUACAUAAAGAUUCACCAGACUAGUAGGAAUUCCAACCUGAAAAUAAGCAGAGUGUGUGUGUGUGUGUGUAUAUAUAUAUAUUAAAAAAGUAAAUAUGUAAGAGUAUCAUUCAACUAGGCUCAAAGAAUGUUUAAUCAUACAAUUAUACGUUUUAUGAACAUAACAAACUGUGAAAUAUCUACUAGAUAUUUUUUGUUAAACAAAAAAGGUAACAAGAUAAAUAAAUAAAUAAAAGCCAGAUAAACAAAGAUGAUAAAAAUGUAUUUACACUAUUUAGUAUUAGGGACGUAGAAAGAAUUUAUGGCAAUUUCUAAAUAUUUUGGACUUAUUUUGCAUCUUGAUAUAAGUUUUUAAGCAUAAAUUUGCAAAUUUCAACUAUUCCUUUAAAAAAAAAACUCAACUAAAAUGCCUCUUUUUCCCUUUUCCUUGGUCCCUAUUUUUUAUGUAUAUAUAAAAAUGGAAAAAAAAAUUUUGGAAAAGACUUCCCAGUACUGUCAACAAGGGAUUGCUGUAAAGUGGAUCUUUAUUAAGUACUUCCAGACUCGAGGAAAUUUCUUUACAAUCAAGGGUCAGUUGUAAACAAUCAUGAAUUUGUGGUUAAUUAAUGGCAUAAUCAAUUCUUAACUAAACUGGAGAUAUUAAUUAAAUUUGAAGACUUUUUUUUUUUCCAAUCGAAAUGUGAAGAAUUAAGGAAAAGAGAAAUAUAUAGAUGAAUUUGUGAACCUAUAAGAUGAGUGACUAUCCUUUAAUUUUUGAAAAUUGUACUUAUUAAGACAUGAGCAGAAACAAUUAAAUUGAAUUAUAUUAUGCUGUUGAAUCGUGAUUAAAAAAAUUAUAUUGUUGAUUCUAAUGCUGGCGAACCUAAAAACUGGACUUAAAACGUAGAUUUCAGAGUGGUGGUUUGAAGUACAAUACUUGAAAUAAAUAAUCAGUGGCUAAAUAUCAUUUGUAAACCCAAAAAUGGUUAAAAUAUUGUUGAAUGUUAUUUGAAAAAAAAAAAAAAGAGAUUCAAAAUGAAUAUUCUUACCAAUGGAGGAAAAAUAUUCUUUAGGUUAUCACACCAAGAUAUCUCCAAAUUCUUCAAUUUGCUGAAAGACUCCGAAGCAAGCUGGUGGUGCCAUAUUUUUCUCAAAUUAUCCAUCCAGUCAAUACGUAAUACCUCCAACCUAGGAAGUCGUACCUGACAGUUAAAGAUUAAAUAACUAAUUAAUCAAUUAAUGGCAUAAUCAAUUGAUAAAUAAAUUAGAGGCGGAUAUUAACUAAAUUUGAAGACUCAAGGAAAAGACAAAUUAAAUAUUGUGACUAAAAUAAAUUUAAAAAAAAAAAAAACCUUUUCGUCAAAGAGAGGAGGUUGCAUUUCAGAAUGAAUGGUGUCUUCUGGUGAGCUCGUGGAGAUGAAUCUUAACAUAUUCCAGCAACUCUGAAUCUCGAGGUUUAGCAAAGAAGGGAAUUCAACAACUAAAUCUGAAUGAAUAUGUCCCGUAUUGGCAAAGCUUGUUAGUUCUGGAAGCCAAUAGAGCCGCAGGAAGUGUAGUUUAGGAAAUACCUUUAAUUCAAUCAACUUUCCUUCAUCUCUUUCUGACCAUCCCGUGGUGUCGACUACCCCUUCCAUUGACUCACAAUAGCUUAUCUCAAGAUGUUGGAGCUGCAAAAGGCUAUUAACCAUAGAAUAUGAAAACAGAUACUUCAUACGAUGACAACCGACCACGUGCAGCUUUGUUAGAUUUUGACAACAGUACAUUCCUUGAUUAUGAUCGGCCCAUAAUUUUUUCAUGUUUCUCAAGUCCCUGAGAUUCAAUUCCUCUAAGCUCGGAAGAAUAACCU